rnacentral:lncRNA from 1 species
CAGAAAAGUAAAUAAGAACAAUCACAAGAUUUACAUGGGCAUCAUGCCCUAAUCUUGAUUGAUCUUGACAUUAUAUAGCAUGGGAUGACUUAAUGGUGGUGGGUUACAACACACCACUUAUUUAAUCCAACCGGCAAUAUAAGUAAUGACGAUACUAUGUCUGGCAUGGUUGAUGUACCCGAACAUCUCAUGCCAACAAUUACUCUUGGACGUUUGCUUCACCAUUUCCUUUUUCUGCUUGAGUCCCAAGUGGUGGUUUUGGUUGUGCAUUCGGGUCAGGCAGUGGUUGUGGAUUCGGGUCUGGUAAUGGUUGUGGGUUUGGAUCAGGUUGCGGUCCUGGUAAUGGCUGAGGGUUUGGGUUUGGCUGUGGGUCCGGCAAUGGCUUCGGGUUUGGGUCUGGUAAUGGUUGCGGGUUUGGAUGAGGUUGUGGUCCUGGUAAUGGCUGAGGGUUUGGGUUUGGCUGUGGGUUCGGCAAUGGUAUCGGGUUUGGGUCUGGUAAUGGUUCUGGGUUUGGAUCAGGCUGUGGUCCUGGUAAUGGCUGAGGGUUUGGGUUUGGUUGUGGGUCCGGCAAUGGUUUUGGGUUUGGGUCUGGUAAUGGUUGUGGAUUUCGAUCAGGCUGCGGUCUUGGUAAUGGUUGAGGGUUUGGUUUUGCUCGUGGGUCUGGUAGUGGCCGCGGCUUUGUGUUUGGCUGUGGGUUCAUCAACUGUUGCAGGUUUUGUCCUGGCAAUAGUUGUGGAUUUGGGUCAGGNNNNNNNNNNGUUGUGGGUUUGGAUCAGGUUGCGGCCCUGGUAGUGGCUUAGGGUUUGGGUUUGGCUGUGGGUCCGGCAAUGGUUUUGGGUUUGGGUCUGGUAAUGGUUGUGGAUUUCGAUCAGGCUGCGGUCUUGGUAAUGGUUGAGGGUUUGGUUUUGCUCGUGGGUCUGGUAGUGGCCGCGGCUUUGUGUUUGGCUGUGGGUUCAUCAACUGUUGCAGGUUUUGUCCUGGCAAUAGUUGUGGAUUUGGGUCAGGGUGUGGUCCUGGUAAUGGUUGAGCGUUUGGAUCAGGUUGUGGAUCUAGCAGUGGUUGUGGGUUUGUAUGAGGUUUAGGCUCGGGUAGCGGUUGCGGCUUUGGGUCUGGUUGUGGUCCCGGCAAUGGUUGAGGGUUUGGAUCUGGCUGUUUUCCUGGUAGUGGUUCUGGAUUUGGGUUCGCCCGUGGGCCGUACUGAGGGUCUCUAGUGAUCAGGUUGUGCCUCCCGGCAGCAAGAGCAAACACUGGAAGAAGCAUAAGCAGCAACGGUGCUACGAGAAGAGAAGACGCGGAUGGGCGCUUCCUCAUCGUCAUGGCUAAGCUUGUGUUGGUACGAACUUGCAAGUGCGUGCGUCUCGAUCUUCCUAUUUAUAAGCGAAUUCAGCCAUCAAGGCUGGACAAGCAUGUACGUUGUUUACUCCAACUCUGAUUGGGCUUGUUAGCUUUGCCUUUUUGAAGAUGCGGGACUGCACGCCUCCGCUUAGUGCUCUAACCAGCAGCUAGCCACAAUAAAAAGUCAUUUAGAAAAGUUUUGAGUUAUCAUCAUAAAGAAAAAGUUUGUGUAGUUUUCGUCUGGAUAGAUGUGACAUUUUUCAGUUGAUCGUAGGAGAGCAACAUGCAGAAGCAUACAGUUGCCCAAGUUGUGAACAACCUGAUCACUUUCAGUAAUUCUGUUGAAUUCAUAGCAGGGUAGCAGAUGGCUGUGAGCAUGGAAUUUGUAAAUCAUGUAAUUUUUUUUAAAAUAAGAAAAAUCAUGUAAACACGUAUACAUGUUAUUUGCGUGUCCAAGAAGUUUAAUUAAGCCAUACACAGAUUUGUAGGCUACAUAAAAAAAAUCCAGCCCAAAUGCAAUAGAAAUAAGCCUAUUUUAAAUUAUGUAUUUGUCGUUUUCCCCUUUGUGUAGACUAUAUAUGAUUUUUUUUCAAAUAUAUUUUGUUGAAAUUUUGUAUGAACACACUAUACCUUUUUUAUUGAAAAUUUUGAGGUGCAAGAAUAAAGUUCUUGAUAAAAAAUAAAGAAGCCUGUACGAUGUAUUGUUGUACACAGGAAUAUCGUGGAUUCUAAACUUGAGGUUUGCAUGGAUGGAUUUUUUUUACGGAAUCUAGUUUAAAUGAGUCCUAUUGUUUCCCGUAUGAAUUCCUAUUCUAUGACUCAAACAACACAUACAGAAAAAUUUUCUAAGGAUUAGAUUCCUCCAAAAUUCUAUUAAAAGUUUAAAACCCCUUUGAAUCAAAGAAGCCUAUUCCCCCCAAAAUAAAGAAAAGAAUCAAAUGAGCUCGGGUGAACAGUAAAAUCAAAACUAAAUCAAUUUUUUUUUAAAAAAAUCCAAUUUUUUUUGGGAGAAAAAGUUCUAAGUGCUUGCAAAAAUUCGCCAUGAAAUCACAUUUCUAGAAGGCGUGGCAAAAAAAAAAAACAAAAUCAGUACUCUGAAAAAGCUACUUUCAAAAGCAUUUUGGAGCACUGAAUUUGUUUUUUUUGCCACGCUUUACAGGAAUGUGAUUUCAUGAUGAAUUUUUGCAAGCACUUAAAACUUUUGUUAAUGUUUCUCCCAAAAAAAAUUGGGAAUUUUUUGAAUUUUUUUUGAAUUUUUUUCGAUUUUACUGUUCACCAAGCUCAAAUGAGCUCGGGAGCAGAAAGGCACUUUCGAUCAAAGAAGCCUAUUUCGCAGCAAAGCUAGUGGCUGUCCUAUCGGACAGUGAUGCACCUUUAAGUACGCGGUUUCUAAUAAUCACGAUCAGUGCACGCCGUGCACAGUGCACUCAUUUCGGUUGUAGAUGUAACUUUCACAUUUCAUACACCAAUCACGAUCAGUUGCUUGUUGGCACGGGCGGAGCUCCGUAGGGGCAGACCUGGGCCAUGGCCCGCCCAGGAAUUUGACAAAAAAAGUUUUUACUACUAGUCGUCUUAGCCCAGCCCACUAGCCCACGCACGCACUGAAUAUCCCCCCAUCGGCCAUCGUCUCCUCGUCUCGCGCACGCUGCACGCACAGGCACACUCACGCCUUCCCCAAUUCCCCAUCCUCUCAGUCCCAGACUCAUGUAGGUUGUAGCCACGCCGCCGACGACUACCGACGUGGACAGGGAACACGUCCACACGGUCCACCGGAGCGCGCCGCCCGCCAUCUCUCGGAGCAACCGCCAUGGCAACGCCCGCCGGGAUCUCGCCUCGCCCCUGCCCUGCUCCCUCCUGCCGCCCAUCAUCCGCACACUUACANNNNNNNNNNNNNNNNNNNNNNNNNNNNNNNNNNNNNNNNNNNNNNNNNNNNNNNNNNNNNNNNNNNNNNNNNNNNNNNNNNNNNNNNNNNNNNNNNNNNNNNNNNNNNNNNNNNNNNNNNNNNNNNNNNNNNGCAAUAACCUGAUUUUGUUCAUUUCCAUACACCCAGUGAUCAGUCCUGCUAGUGAUAAAUAAUAGUCUGAUGAUCUGAUCUUACGCAAAUUUUAACAUAGGUAGUCGGGAAAGGAAAAUAAGACUCAGAGAAGAAGAAGAUCACUGCACAAUAAGAUGGAAGAUGAGAAUCUGGCUAAUAACUUGUUAGUUCACAUAGAUGGUGGAAUUCUAGAAAACUACAGCCACGAAGAUGUCAUUGCAGAUUUUAUAAACAAGAAGAUCGGAGAGUUGAUUGUAUGUGAGUAGGUCCAUGUCUAAUGUCUCUGACACUUUUGUAUUAUCUAACUCAAUAGUGAAACAUGGUUGAACUGUACUUUGGUACAUAUAUAUAUUAUAUAUAUACAUAUCUGCUAGCUCAAUCUUGUGACCUGGGUGCUUGUAAUAUGUCCUUAUGGGUAAGAAUUUAGAAAAAAUUGUGUUCUUCUUCAGUCUGGCCCGCCCAACUUUUUCGUUCAAGCUCCGCCACUGCUUGUUGGUGCACAUCCAAUGCUCUAGAAUAAAACAAAAAGUACUCCUAUAUACAAAACGUACUUUACCUAACCUACCGAUUGAAUCGUAUACAUAGAUGAAAAAGAAAAGACAUCCGUAGAGUCCCAAGUUACCUACCGAUUGAAUCGUAUGUAUAGAUGAAAAAGAAAAGACAUCCAUAGAGUACCAAGUUACCUACCGAUUGAAUCAUACAUAUAGACGAAAAAGAAAAGACAUGCAUAGAGUACCAAGUUAAAGACGAUAUGACCUCACAACUAGAUUGGGUUGGGUGAGUGGAGUGCCACUUUAAUCCUUGUCUGGAGCACGCGCUAUGAUAUUUCUUCAGAGGCGCUGAAGUGGGGAACAAGACUGAUAGAACAAACAACAAGUGAGAUAUUUUGAGCUUCACUAGGUUGGAGGCCUGGUGUGCUCAGAAUUUAUCAGGGUGUAUUCAGGUUGCAGCACUGCUGCCAAGGCAUUUCUCCAGCUUCGCUCUGAAGAUCUUUUGCUUUGCUUUGUUCCUCUGUUUGUUUGUAAUGAAGUUCCCGUGUUUUGUGAUGGUUGCAAGUUCCCUGUAGUCUUUAUAUAUUUGGCUCAAGGGUGCCUGAAAAUUUCAUAGUUAUGUUUAAAAAAAUGCCGUAGUUGUUAGUUUUUGGACCAUCUAUCUAAAUCUAUCAAAGACCCUGUUGCCCGAGCUAGCCAAUCAAAGUUGGGCCAUUUGCAUCAAGCUAGGUAGGAUGCGUCGCCGGAAAACCCAAAUCGCUAAUUAAGGAGUACUCUUUGCAAAGGUCACUCCUACCAUGUCGCAACUAGUGAGUUUUCCUUUUUUUGUCGAUUCGUUUAUUCAACACGUUUUAUCGGUUAAAACAUGCAUUCACAUCUUGAAUCGUUUUCUCCAUUGUAUUCCUCGCACUGAGAUCUUGAAAAUUAGAUCCGAUCUGAUAGGUUUUGAUGAACGUUUUACUUUACGAAAAAUACCGAACAAAAAACAAACCGGGAGCACAUUUUUUCCUUUCUGAAAAGGGCACAAUCGUGCCUCUCGUGUCGUUACAAAUCUUAUCUCUGUUCGUCGUUACAAAUCCUAUGAAUUGCUAUUCUAUCUUCACAACAUCCUAUACUCCCCUUGUGUCGUUACAAAUCUUAUCUCUGUUCGUCGUUUUUGCAUUGACAAUUCAGUAACAAUUGAGUUUUACCCCCUUGACUUUGUUGUGAAGGAUCUAGCCACUCGGACUCCUUAUGAGCCGCAGUAGCUACGGCCAGCUUUACUCCUUCUCCGGCGGCACCACCAACCACCAGGCGGUGCUCUCUAUGGACGUUGGAAACUUGUGGCAUCAGCGAUUAGGGCACCCCAGUGCUGCCUCCCUUUCCCGUUUGGCGAGCAGUUUUUAACCAAAUUGUAAUAAGCCAGUCCACCCCAUGGUACUUGUCAUGCAUGUCAAUUAGGCCACCAUGCUCUCCUUCCUUUUUCCAGAUUCUCUGUCAUUUACUACUUUUCCUUUUCAACUAGUGCACUAUGAUAUAUGAACCUCAACAAUUGCGAGUUUUUCCGGCUUCAAAUAUUAUUUGUUUGUCAUAGACGACUUCACUCACUUCCCUUGGAGCUUCCCGCUACACCAUAAGCCCCAUGCCGCUGCCACCCUUGAACGCUUUUACCAGUACGUGCUCAUACAAUUCCGUGUUUACAUACAGUGUGUCCAAUGUGAUAAUGGGGGCGACUUCCUCAACGUUCACCUAUGCACUUUCUGUUGGGGAACGUUGCAGAAAACAAAAAUUUUCCUACGGUUUCACCAAGAUCCAUCUAGGACUUCAUCUAGCAACGAGUAAUCGGAUUGCAUCUACGUACCUUGUAGAUCGCGAGUGGAAGCGUUCAAAGAACGGGGAUGAGGGAGUCGUACUCGACGUGAUCCAAAUCACCGGAGAUCCUAGCGCCGAACGGACGACACCUCCGCGUUCAACACACGUACGGUCAGCGUAACGUCUCCUUCCUCUUGAUCCAGCAAGGGGCAAGGAGAGGUUGAGGAAGAUGGCUCCAGCAGCAGCACGACGGCGUGGUGGUGAUGGAGCUGCAGUACUCCGGCAGGGCUUCGCCAAGCUCUAUGGAGGAGGAGGAUGUGUUGGAGAGGGAGAGGGAGGCACCAAAGGCAAAGGUAAGAGGUCCUCCAUCCUCCCCACUAUAUAUAGGGGGGCCUAGGGGGGGACGCCGGCCCUAGGAGAUGCAAUCUCCUAGGGGGGCGGCGGCCAAGGGGUGGGGGACUUGCCCCCCAAGCAAGGGGGCGUCCCCCCCCUUUAGGGUUUCCCCCACCCUAGGCGCAUGGGCCCUAGGGGAAGUGGCGCCCCAGCCCACUUUGGGCUGGAUCCCUUCCCACUUCAGCCCAUGGGGCCCUCCGGGAUAGGUGGCCCCACCCGGUGGACCCCCGGGACCCUUCCGGUGGUCCCGGUACAAUACCGGUGACCCCGAAACUUGUCCCGAUAGCCGAAAUAGCACUUCCUAUAUAUAAUUAUUUACCUCCGGACCAUUCCGGAACUCCUCGUGAUGUCCGGGAUCUCAUCCGGGACCCCGAACAACAUCCGGGUUACUGCAUAUACAUAUCCCUAUAACCCUAGCGUCACCGAACCUUAAGUGUGUAGACCCUACGGGUUCGGGAGACAUGUAGACAUGACCGAGAUCGCUCUCCGGUCAAUAAACAAUAGCGGGAUCUGGAUACCCAUGUUGGCUCCCACAUGCUCCUCGAUGAUCUCAUCGGAUGAACCACGAUGUCGAGGAUUCAAGCAACCCCGUAUACAAUUCCCUUCGUCAGUCGGUAUGUUACUUGCCCGAGAUUCGGUCGUCGGUAUCCCAAUACCUCGUUCAAUCUCGUUACCGGCAAGUCACUUUACUCUUACCGUAAUGCAUGAUCCCGUGACCAGACACUUGGUCACUUUGAGCUCAUUAUGAUGAUGCAUUACCGAGUGGGCCCAGUGAUACCUCUUCGUCAUACGGAGUGACAAAUUCCAGUCUUGAUCCGUGUCAACCCAACAGACACUUUCGGAGAUACCCGUAGUAUACCUUUAUAGUCACCCAGUUACUUGUGACGUUUGGUACACCCAAAGCACUCCUACGGUAUCCGGGAGUUACACGAUCUCAUGGUCUAAGGAAAAGAUACUUGACAUUGGAAAACUCUAGCAAAUGAACUAUACGAUCUUGUGCUAUGUUUAGGAUUGGGUCUUGUCCAUCACAUCAUUCUCCUAAUGAUAUGAUCUCGUUAUCAAUGACAUUCAAUGUCCAUAGUCAGGAAACCAUGACUAUCUUUGAUCAACGAGCUAGUCAACUAGAGGCUUACUAGGGACAUGUUGGUGUCUAAGUAUUCACACAUGUAUUACAAUUUCCGGAUAACACAAUUAUAGCAUGAAUAAAAGACAAUUAUCAUGAACAAGGAAAUAUAAUAAUAAUGCUUUUAUUAUUGCCUCUAGGGCAUAUUUCCAACAGUCUCCCACUUGCACUAGAGUCAAUAAUCUAGUUACAUUGUGAUGAAUCGAACACCCAUGGAAUUCUGGUGUUGAUCAUGUUUUGCUCUAGGGAGAGGUUUAGUCAACGGAUCUGCUACAUUCAGGUCCAUAUGUACUUUACAAAUAUCUAUGUCUCCAUCUUGAACAUUUUCACGAAUGGAGUUGAAGCGACGCUUGAUGUGCCUCGUCUUCUUGUGAAAUCUGGGCUCCUUGGCAAGUGCAAUAGCUCCAUGUUGUCACAGAAGAGCUUCAUAGGCCCCGAUGCAUUGGGUAUGACUCCUAGGUCGGUGAUGAACUCCUUCACCCAAAUUGCUUCAUGCGCUGCCUCCGAGGCUGCCAUGUACUCCGCUUCACAUGUAGAUCCCGCCACGACGCUCUUCUUGCAACUGCACCAGCUUACUGCCCUACCAUUCAAAAUAUACACGUAUCCGGUUUGUGACUUAGAGUCAUCCAGAUCUGUGUCGAAGCUAGCAUCGACGUAACCAUUUACGACGAGCUCUUCGUCACCUCCAUAGACGAGAAACAUUUCCUUAGUCCUUUUCAGGUACUUCAGGAUAUUCUUGACCGCUGUCCAGUGUUCCUUGCCGGGAUUACUUUGGUACCUACCUACCAAACUUACGGCUAGGUUUACAUCAGGUCUGGUACACAGCAUGGCAUACAUAAUAGAACCUAUGGCUGAGGCAUAGGGGAUGAUACUCAUCUCUUCUAUAUCUUCUGCCGUGGUCGGACAUUGAGCUGAGCUCAAUUUCAUACCUUGCAACACAGGCAAGAACCCCUUCUUAGACUGAUCCAUAUUGAAUUUCUUCAAUAUCUUAUCAAGGUAUGUGCUUUGUGAAAGACCUAUGAGGCGUCUUGAUCUAUCUCUGUAGAUCUUGAUGCCUAAUAUAUAAGCAGCUUCUCCAAGGUCCUUCAUUGAAAAACUCUUAUUCAAGUAGGCCUUAAUGCUGUCCAAAAGUUCUAUAUCAUUUCCCAUCAAAAGUAUGUCAUCUACAUAUAAUAUGAGAAAUGCUACAGAGCUCCCACUCACUUUCUUGUAAACACAGGCUUCUCCAUAAGUCUGCGUAAACCCAAACGCUUUGAUCAUCUCAUCAAAGCGAAUGUUCCAACUCCGAGAUGCUUGCACCAGCCCAUAAAUCGAGCGUUGGAGCUUGCACACCUUGUCAGCAUACUUAGGAUCGACAAAACCUUACGGCUGCAUCAUAUACCAUUCUUCCUUAAGGAAACCAUUAGGAAUGCCGUUUUGACGUCCAUUUGCCAUAUUUCAUAAUCAUAGAAUGCGGCAAUUGCUAACAUGAUUCGGACGGACUUCAGCUUCGCUACCGGUGAGAAAGUCUCAUCGUAGUCAACCCCUUGAACUUGUCGAUAACCCUUAGCGACAAGCCGAGCUUUAUAGAUGGUCACACUACCAUCCGCGUCUGUCUUCUUCUUAAAGAUCCAUUUAUUUUCUAUGGCUUGCCGCUCUACGGCCAAGUCAGUCAAAGUCCAUACUUCGUUUUCAUACAUGGAUCCUAUCUCGGAUUUCAUGGCUUCCAGCCAUUUGUCAGAAUCCGGGCCCGCCAUCGCUUCUUCAUAGUUUGAAGGUUCACCGUUGUCUAACAACAUGAUUUCCAAGACAGGGUUGCCGUACCAAUCUGGUGCGGAACGUGUCCUUGUGGACCUUCGAAUUUCAGUAGGAGCUUGAUCAGAAGUAUCUUGAUCAUCAUCAUUAACUUCCUCUCUAGUCGGUGCAGGCACCUCAGGAACAUUUUCUUGAGUUGCGCCAUUUUCCGGUUCAAGAGGUAAUACUUCAUCAAGUUCUACUUUCCUCCCAUUUACUUCUUUCGAGAGAAACUCCUUCUCUAGAAAGGAUCCAUUCUUGGCAACAAAGAUCUUGCCUUCGGAUCUGAGGUAGAAGGUAUACCCAAUAGUUUCUUUAGGGUAUCCUAUGAAGACGCAUUUUUCCGACUUGGGUUCGAGCUUUUCAGGUUGAAGUUUCUUGACAUAAGCAUCGCAUACCCAAACUUUUAGAAACGAUAGCUUAGCUUUCUUCCCAAACCAUAAUUCAUACGGUGUCGUCUCAACGGAUUUCGACGGAGCCCUAUUUAAAGUGAAUGCGGGAGUCUCUAAAGCAUAGCCCCAAAAAGAUAGCGGUAAAUCGGUAAGAGACAUCAUAGAUCACACCAUAUCUAAUAGAGUGCGAUUACGACGUUCGGACACACCAUUACGCUGAGGUGUUCCAAGCGGCGUGAGUUGUGAAACUAUUCCAUAUUUUCUUAAGUGUGUGCCAAACUCGUGACUCAAGUAUUCUCCUUCACGAUCUGAUCGCAGGAACUUGAUUUUCCUGUCACGUUGAUUCUCAACCUCACUCUGAAAUUCCUUGAACUUUUCAAAGGUCUCAGACUUGUGUUUCAUUAAGUAGACAUACCCAUAUAUACUCAAGUCAUCAGUGAGGGUGAGAACAUAACGCCACCGUGAGCCUCAACAGUCAUUGGACCGCACACAUCAGUAUGUAUGAUUUCCAAUAAGUUGGUUUCUCGCUCCAUUGUUCCUGAGAACGGAGUCUUGGUCAUUUUACCCAUGAGGCAUGAUUCGCACAUGUCAAAUGAUUCGUAAUCAAGAGACUCUAAAAGUCCAUCAGCAUGGAGCUUCUUCAUGCGUUUGACACCUAUGUGACCAAGGCGGCAGUGCCACAAGUAUGUGGGACUAUCAUUAUCAAUCUUACAUCUUUUGGUACUCACACUAUGAACAUGUGUAGCAUUACGCUCGAGAUUCAUUAAGAAUAAACCAUUCACCAUCGGAGCAUGACCAUAAAACAUAUCUCUCAUAUAAAUAGAACAACCAUUAUUCUCGGAUUUAAAUGAGUAGCCAUCUCGAAUUAAACGAGAUCCUGAUACAAUGUUCAUGCUCAAAGCUAGCACUAAAUAACAAUUAUUAAGGUUUAAAACUAAUCCCGAAGGUAAAUGUAGAGGUAGCGUGCCGACGGCGAUCACAUUGACCUUGGAACCAUUCCCGACGCGCAUCGUCACCUCGUCCUUCGCCAGUCUCCGCUUAUUCCGCAGCUCCUGUUUUGAGUUACAAAUGUGAGCAACCGCACCGGUAUCAAAUACCCAGGAGCUACUACGAGUACUGGUAAGGUACACAUCAAUUACAUGUAUAUCACAUAUACCUUUCGUGAUGCCGGCCUUCUUGUCCGCUAAGUAUUUGGGGCAGUUUCGCUUCCAGUGACCACUUCCCUUGCAAUAAAAGCACUUAGUCUCGGGCUUGGGUCCAUUCUUUGGCUUCUUCCCGGCAGCUUGCUUGCCGGGCGCGGCAACUCCCUUGUCGUCCUUCUUGAAGGCUUUCUUACCCUUGCCCUUCUUGAACUUAGUGGUUUUAUUCACCAUCAACACUUGAUGUUCCUUUUUGACUUCUACCUCAGCUGAUUUCAGCAUUGCAAAUACGUCAGGAAUGGUCUUUUCCAUCCCCUGCAUAUUGAAGUUUAUCACAAAGCUCUUGUAGCUCGGUGGAAGCGACUGAAGGAUUCUGUCAAUGACCGUGUCAUCCGGGAGAUUAACUCCCAGCUGAGUCAAGCGGUUAUGCAACCCAGACAUAAUGAGUAUGUGCUCACUGACAGAACUGUUUUCCUCCAUCUUACAGCUGAAGAACUUGUCGGAGACUUGAUAUCUCUCGACCCGGGCAUGAGCUUGGAAAACCAUUUUCAGCUCUUCGAACAUCUCAUAUGCUCCGUGUCUCUCAAAACGCUUUUGGAGCCCCGGCUCUAAGCUGUAAAGCAUGCCGGACUGAACGAGGGAGUAGUCAUCGGUACGUGCCUGCCAAGCGUUCAUAACGUCUUGUUCUGCAGGGAGAACAGGUGUGUCACCUGGCGGUGCUUGUAGGACAUAAUCUUUCUUGGCAGCUAUGAGGAUGAUCCUCAGGUUUCGGACCCAGUCCGUGUAGUUGCUGCCAUCGUCUUUCAGCUUGGUUUUCUCUAGGAACGCGUUGAAGUUGAGGACUACGUUGGCCAUUUGAUCUACAAGACAUAUUGUAAAUUUUUUAGACUAAGUUCAUGAUAAUUAAGUUCAUCUAAUCAAAUUAUUCAAUGAACUCCCACUUAGAUAGACAUCCCUCCAGUAAUCUAAGUAUAACAUGAUCCGAGUUAACUAGGACGUGUCCGAUCAUCACGUAAGACGGACUAGUCAACAUCGGUGAACAUCUUCAUGUUGAUCGUAUCUUCUAUAUGACUCAUGCUCGACCUUUCGGUCUUCUGUGUUCCGAGGCCAUGUCUGUACAUGCUAGGCUCGUCAAGUCAACCUAAGUGUUUGCAUGUGUAAAUCUGUCUUACACCCGUUGUAUGUGAACGUUGGAAUGAAUCUAACACCCGAUCAUCACGUGGUGCUUCGAAACAACGAACUGUCGCAAUGGUGCACAGUUAGGAGAAACACUUUCUUGAAAUUAUUAUGAGGGAUCAUCUUAUUUACUAUCGUUGUUCUAAGUAAACAAGAUGCAGAAACAUGAUAAACAUCACAUGCAAUCAAAUAGUGACAUGAUAUGGCCAAUAUCACAUAGCUCCUUUGAUCUCCAUCUUGGGGCUCCAUGAUCAUCUUGUCACCAGCAUGACACCAUGAUCUCCAUCAUCAUGAUCUCCAUCACAGUGUCUCCAUGAAGUUGCUCGCCAACUAUUACUUCUACUACUAUGGCUAACACGUUUAGCAAUAAAGUAAAGUAAUUUACAUGGCGUUUCUCAAUGAAACGCAGGUCAUACAAAAAAUAAAGACAACUCCUAUGGCUCCUGCCGGUUGUCAUACUCAUCGACAUGCAAGUCGUGAUUCCUAUUACAAUAGCAUGAGCAUCUCAUACAUCACAUGUAUAUCAUUCAUCAUUCAUCACAACUUUGGCCAUAUCACAUCACAGAACACUUGCUGCAAAAACAAGUUAGACGUCCUCUAAUUGUUGUUGCAAGUUUUACGUGGCUGCAAUAGGGUUCUAGCAAGAACGUUUUCUUACCUACGUGAAAGCCACAACAUGAUUUGUCAACUUCUAUUUACCCUUCAUAAGGACCCUUUUCAUCGAAUCCGCUCCAACUAAAGUGGGAGAGACAGACACCCGCCAGCCACCUUAUGCAACUUGUGCAUGUUAGUCGGUGGAACCGGUCUCACGUAAGCGUACGUGUAAGGUUGGUCCGGGCCGCUUCAUCCCACAAUACCGUUGAAGCAAGAUAAGACUAGUAGCGGCAAGAAAGUUGACAACAUCUACGCCCACAACAAAUUGUGUUCUACUCGUGCAAAGAGAACUACGCAUAGACCUAGCUCAUGAUGCCACUGUUGGGGAACGUUGCAGAAAACAAAAUUUUUCCUACGGUUUCACCAAGAUCCAUCUAGGAGUUCAUCUAGCAACGAGUGAUCGGAUUGCAUCUACGUACAUUGUAGAUCGCGAGCGGAAGCGUUCAAAGAACGGGGAUGAGGGAGUCGUACUCGACGUGAUCCAAAUCACCGGAGAUCCUAGCGCCGAACGGACGGCACCUCCGCGUUCAACAGACGUACGGUCAGCGUAACGUCUCCUUCCUCUUGAUCCAGCAAGGGGCAAGGAGAGGUUGAGGAAGAUGGCUCCAGCAGCAGCACGAUGGCGUGGUGGUGAUGGAGCUGCAGUACUCCGGCAGGGCUUCGCCAAGCUCUAUGGAGGAGGAUGUGUUGGAGAGGGAGAGGGAGGCACCAAAGGCAAAGGUAAGAGGUCCUCCAUCCUCCCCACUAUAUAUAGGGGGGCCUGGGGGGGGGGGCGCCGGCCCUAGGAGAUGCAAUCUCCUAGGGGGGCGGCGGCCAAGGGGUGGGGGACUUGCCCCCAAGCAAGGGGGCGCCCCCCCCUUUAGGGUUUCCCCCACCCUAGGCGCAUGGGCCCUAAGGGAAGUGGCGCCCCAGCCCACUUUGGGCUGGAUCCCUUCCCACUUCAGCCCAUGGGGCNNNNNNNNNNNNNNNNNNNNNNNNNNNNNNNNNNNNNNNNNNNNNNNNNNNNNNNNNNNNNNNNNNNNNNNNNNNNNNNNNNNNNNNNNNNNNNNNNNNNNNNNNNNNNNNNNNNNNNNNNNNNNNNNNNNNNNNNNNNNNNNNNNNNNNNNNNNNNNNNNNNNNNNNNNNNNNNNNNNNNNNNNNNNNNNNNNNNNNNNNNNNNNNNNNNNNNNNNNNNNNNNNNNNNNNNNNNNNNNNNNNNNNNNNNNNNNNNNNNNNNNNNNNNNNNNNNNNNNNNNNNNNNNNNNNNNNNNNNNNNNNNNNNNNNNNNNNNNNNNNNNNNNNNNNNNNNNNNNNNNNNNNNNNNNNNNNNNNNNNNNNNNNNNNNNNNNNNNNNNNNNNNNNNNNNNNNNNNNNNNNNNNNNNNNNNNNNNNNNNNNNNNNNNNNNNNNNNNNNNNNNNNNNNNNNNGGAAGAUGGCUCCAGCAGCAGCACGAUGGCGUGGUGGUGAUGGAGCUGCAGUACUCCGGCAGGGCUUCGCCAAGCUCUAUGGAGGAGGAUGUGUUGGAGAGGGAGAGGGAGGCACCAAAGGCAAAGGUAAGAGGUCCUCCAUCCUCCCCACUAUAUAUAGGGGGGCCUAGGGGGGGGGGCGCCGGCCCUAGGAGAUGCAAUCUCCUAGGGGGGCGGCGGCCAAGGGGUGGGGGACUUGCCCCCAAGCAAGGGGGCGCCCCCCCCUUUAGGGUUUCCCCCACCCUAGGCGCAUGGGCCCUAAGGGAAGUGGCGCCCCAGCCCACUUUGGGCUGGAUCCCUUCCCACUUCAGCCCAUGGGGCCCUCCGGGAUAGGUGGCCCCACCCGGUGGACCCCCGGGACCCUUCCGGUGGUCCCGGUACAAUACCGGUGACCCCGAAACUUGUCCCGAUAGCCGAAAUAGCACUUCCUAUAUAUAAUUCUUUACCUCCGGACCAUUCUGGAACUCCUCGUGAUGUCCGGGAUCUCAUCCGGGACCCCGAACAACAUUCGGGUUACUGCAUAUACAUAUCCCUAUAACCCUAGCGUCACCGAACCUUAAGUGUGUAGACCCUACAGGUUCGGGAGACAUGUAGACAUGACCGAGAUCGCUCUCCGGUCAAUAACCAACAGCGGGAUCUGGAUACCCAUGUUGGCUCCCACAUGCUCCUCGAUGAUCUCAUCGGAUGAACCACGAUGUCGAGGAUUCAAGCAACCCCGUAUACAAUUCCCUUCGUCAGUCGGUAUGUUACUUGCCCGAGAUUCGAUCGUCGGUAUCCCAAUACCUCGUUCAAUCUCGUUACCGGCAAAUCACUUUACUCUUACCGUAAUGCAUGAUCCCGUGACCAGACACUUGGUCACUUUGAGCUCAUUAUGAUGAUGCAUUACCGAGUGGGCCCAGUGAUACCUCUCCGUAAUACGGAGUGACAAAUCCCAGUCUUGAUCCGUGUCAACCCAACAGACACUUUCAGAGAUACCCGUAGUAUACCUUUAUAGUCACCCAGUUACGUUGUGACGUUUGGUACACCCAAAGCACUCCUACGGUAUCCGGGAGUUACACGAUCUCAUGGUCUAAAGGAAAAGAUACUUGACAUUGGAAAACUCUAGCAAACGAACUAUACGAUCUUGUGCUAUGUUUAGGAUUGGGUCUUGUCCAUCACAUCAUUCUCCUAAUGAUGUGAUCUCGUUAUCAAUGACAUCCAAUGUCCAUAGUCAGGAAACCAUGACUAUCUGUUGAUCAACGAGCUAGUCAACUAGAGGCUUACCGGGGACAUGUUGGUGUCUAAGUAUUCACACAUGUAUUAUGAUUUCCGGAUAACACAAUUAUAGCAUGAAUAAAAGACAAUUAUCAUGAACAAGGAAAUAUAAUAAUAAUGCUUUUAUUAUUGCCUCUAGGGCAUAUUUCCAACACUUUCCUCUACGAGGCAUCACCCUUUGUCACUCUUGCCCGCACACCUCCCCUCAAAACGAGAAGGCCGAGCACGGCAUUCGCUCCAUGAACGACAUUAUGCGCACACUCCUCCAAGCUCACAUGCCACCUUCGUUUUGGGUCGACGCCCUCAACACCACCACAUACUUACUGAAUUUCGCCCAUCCCGAGCCAUCGACCACAUCCCACCCUACUACGCCCUCUUUGGUACCUCUCCAGAUUACAGCUCCCUACGCACGUUCGUCUGCCUCUGCUACCAAAACCUCUAUGCCACUAUGCCCUACAAAUUAGCUCCCCGCUCCGUUCGCUGCAUUCUCCUCGGUAUGCCACUUGAGCAUAAAGGCUACAGGUGCCUGGACCUCUCCAAUCGAUGACUCAUUACCUCUAGACAUGUCAUUUUUUGACGAAAACACCUUCCCAUUCAUUGAUGCCCCGAGCGGCCACACGCCUGCACGAGCAGGGUCUGCUCCGGCCGCAGAAAAUCAAGCACCCACCUCCAUCCCCCUCGGAUCACCCACUCCACCAGUCACGCACCACCUCCCAUCCCCAAGCAUGCAGCCCGACCCCACCUCCCAAACCCAUGCAGUGAUUCACCCAUCACCUGCAUGCGGCGCGCCUCCCCUCGUGUCGACUCCACGCCUAGAUGCAGUAGCCCGCCACUUACGCCUCUGCAUGCAGCGCCCCUCACUCUAUGCCGCCCACGCAUGUAGUACGAUCCCACCCUGAGUCGUGCCGAUUUUACCUGCCAAAAACUUGCAUGCCAGGCGCACCUGCGCAAAGUCCAGUUUUCUGCAGCCAAAGAAGCUUCUGACCGUCGCUACCUCUCCCGCCCCCAUCUCUCCUAUUCCCGCAAACUACAAAGAAGCUCUCAAAGACCCCAACUGGUACAAUGUUAUGCUUGAAGAAUUUAACGCUUUGUUGCAAAGCAAAACGUGGUCUUUGGUUGCUUGCUCUGCAGGUGUCAACUUGGUGUCUGGGAAGUGGAUAUUCCGCCACAAGCUUCAUCUCGACGGCUCCCUCGCUCGGUACAAGGCGUGUUGGGUACUUCGUGGCUUCACAAAGCAGCCUGGCAUUGACUACGGGGAGACCUUCAGCCCCGUGUGGUGAAACCGGCCACCAUCCGCGUCAUCCUCAGUGUCGCCAUCAGUAACCGUUGGGCCAUUAACCAGCUGGACAUGAAGAACCCCUUCCUCCACGGCACUCUCGAUGAGCUCGUCUACAGUCAGCCGCCGGCUAGCUUCGUCGACACCGCACACCCCUCGACCAUGUGCAAACUCCAAAAGUCCUUGUAUGACUUAAGCAGGCUCCUCGUGCGUGGUUCCAGCGGUUCACCACAUUCCUUCUCUCGCUCGGCUUCACGGUGUCAAGAUCCGACACAUCCCUAUUUAUUCUCCGCCGUGGCACCUCAGUGGCAUACCUCUUGCUAUAUGUUGACGAUAUCAUUCUCACCGCUAGCUCCUCCGGGUUACUCACCAUCGUUACCGCCGCUCUCACCUCUGAGUUCUCCAUGGCGAACCUCAGCUCGCUCCACCACUUCCUUGGCGUCAAUGUUCAGUGCAGCCCCACUGGUUUGUUUCUUUCCGAGCAACAGUAUGCGCUCGAGAUCCUUGAUCGCGCCUCCAUGCUCAACUGCAAACCCAUCACUACCCCCGUCGACACCAAAGCAAAGCUCGCCACCUCGCCACCUCAGCUAACGACUCUGCUCCUGACCCAUCCCUCUUCCAUAGUCUCGCCGGUGCCCUGCAGUACCUCACGCUCAUGCGCCCGGACAUAGCCUACACCGUCCAGCAGGUGUGCCUCGUCAUGCACUCGCCGCGCAUGCUACACGCCGCCCUCCUCAAAUGUAUCAUGCGUUAUCUGCGUGGUACCACCCACCUUGGCCUUCAUAUUCGUCUGUCUGCUUCAUCCCAGCUCAUGUCUUACACAGACGCCGACUGGGCCGGUUGUCCCGACACCGUACCUGACGCUCGAUGUCUGGCUACUACAUGUACAUCGGUGACAACCUCGUCUCCUGGUCUUCGAAGCGACAAACCACCUUGUCGCGAUCGAGUGCGGAGGCAGAGUACCGAGCUGUCGCCAACGCGGUCACGGAGUCGUGUUGGCUACGAAGCUUCUUCAGGAUAUCGGAUGGCCUCCAUGGUGCUACCACUGUUUACUGAGACAACGUAUCGGUGACUGAAGGAAAUAUGCCCUAGAGGCAAUAAUAAAGUUAUUAUUUAUUUCCUUAUAUCAUGAUAAAUGUUUAUUAUUCAUUCUAGAAUUGUAUUAACGGAAACAUAAUACAUGUGUGAAUACAUAGACAAACAGAGUGUCACUAGUAUGCCUCUACUUGACUAGCUCGUUGAUCAAAGAUGGUUAUGUUUCCUAACCAUAGACAUGAGUUGUCAUUUGAUUAACGGGAUCACAUCAUUAGGAGAAUGAUGUGAUUGACUUGACCCAUUCCGUUAGCAUAGCACUUGAUCGUUUAGUUUGUUGUUAUUGCUUUCUUCAUGACUUAUACAUGUUCCUAUGAUUAUGAGAUUAUGCAACUCCCGUUUACCAGAGGAACACUUUGUGUGCUACCAAACGUCACAACGUAACUGGGUGAUUAUAAAGGUGCUCUACAGGUGUCUCCGAAGGUACUUGUUGGGUUGGCGUAUUUCGAGAUUAGGAUUUGUCACUCCGAUUGUCGGAGAGGUAUCUCUAGGCCCUAUCGGUAAUGCACAUCACUUAAGCCUUGCAAGCAUUGCAACUAAUGAGUUAGUUGCGGGAUGAUGUUUUACGGAACGAGUAAAGAGACUUGCCGGUAACGAGAUUGAACUAGGUAUUGAGAUACCGACGAUCGAAUCUCGGACAAGUAACAUACCGAUGACAAAGGAAAUAACGUAUGUUGUUAUGCGGUCUGACCGAUAAAGAUCUUCGUAGAAUAUGUGGGAGCCAAUAUGAGCAUCCAGGUUCCGCUAUUGGUUAUUGACCGGAGACAUGUCUCGGUCAUGUCUACAUAGUUCUCGAACCUGUAGGGUCCGCACGCUUAAAGUUUCGGUGACGAUUGUAUUAUGAGUUUAUGUGAUUUGAUGUACCGAAGGUAGUUUGGAGUCCCGGAUGAGAUCGGGGACAUGACGAGGAGUCUCAAAAUGGUCGAGACGUAAAGAUCGAUAUAUUGGACGACUAUAUUCGGACAUCGGAAAGGUUCCGAGUGAUUCGGGUAUUUUCGGGAGUACCGGGAGUUACGGGAAUACGAGGAAGAAGUAAUGGGCCUCAUGGACCAAGUGGUGGAAGAGAGGAGGCAGGGCGCGCGGCCCUCCUAGCCCAAACCGAAUUGGACUAGGGGGCCGGCCCCCCUUUCCUCCUUUUCCUCCUUCUCCUUCCUUCUCCUUCUCCUCCUUCCUUUCCUCCUCCUAGUAGGAGUAGGAAAGGGGAGUCCUACUCCUACUAGGAGGAGGACUCCUCCUCCUGGCGCGCCCAUAGAGGGCCGGUCGGCCUCCCCCCUUGCUCCUUUAUAUACAGGGGCAGGGGGGCACCUCUAGACACACAAGUUGAUCUUCGUGAUCGUUCCUUAGCCGUGUGUGGUGCCCCCUUCCACCAUAUUCCACCUCGGUCAUAUCGUAGCGGUGCUUAGGCGAAGCCCUGCGUCAGUAGAACAUCAUCACCGUCAUCACGCCGUCGUGCUGACGAAACUCUCCCUCAACACUCGGCUGGAUCGGAGCUCGAGGGACGUCACCGAGUUGAACGUGUGAGAACUCGGAGGUGCCGUACGUUCGGUACUUGGAUCGGUCGGAUCGGGAAGACGUACGACUACUUCCUCUACGUUGUGUCAACACUUCCGUUGCUGGUCUACGAGGGUACGUAGACGACACUCUCCCCUCUUAUUGCUAUGCAUCACCAUGUUCUUGCGUGUGCGUAGGAAAUUUUUUGAAAUUACUACGUUAUCCAACAAUGACGUACCUCUCCACCAACCCGGUACAACACCAACGCACCAAGCACGUGGAGAUUGAUCUUCAUUUCGUGCGCGACCGCGUUGUCUUCGGAGAUGUUCGUGUUCUGCAUGUUCCGGCAACCUCCCAGUUUGCCGACGUUUUCACCAAGGGGAUACCAACCGGCGUCUUGACAGAGUUCCGGUCCAGCCUCAAUGUCGUCGAAGACCCCGUUGCGGCUGUGGGGGGCUGCUGGAAUUGUAAAACGCCUCCUGCAUGUACAUUACCGGGUCCCUCGGCUGGACAGAUCGGCUCGCGCAAGUAGCAUGGGACACCUGCGUCUGUUACACACGAUCCCCUUCUCCGUUGCUUGUAGCUGCUGUACCUAGGCGUAUAUAUAUAACUCUGUACAAUCUGGAAUAGACACGGUGAAGAUCACCUUUCAACUGUUCGCACUGUGCGGCCAAACCUUGUUUGGCUGGGACUGACAAAUGAAAAUGAUGCACCCGAGCACAUCCAGAAGGAUCUGAACGCUCGCAGUCCAAACCAGCUUAUCGGCAUUGGUACAGAGUUGAGGCAAAACCGAGCAGUGAAGCAAGCUCCAGCAUUUUCAACAUGAAGGAAACGAAAAAGACGAAACAGGCUCCAACAUUCUCGUCAAAAAAGAUAAGAAAAGGAAAAAAGAAACAGGCUCCAGCAUUCUUGACACAAAAGAAAUGAAGAAGGAAAACGAAACAGGCUCAGGCAUUCUUGACACAAAAGAAAAGAAAAAGGAAAAGGAGAAAGGCUCCAAUAUUCUUGACAAAAUAGAGAAGCAAAAGAAAAAGGAAUCAGGCACAAGCAUCCUCGACACAGAAGAAAAGAAAAGGGAAAAGGAAAUUGGAUCCAGCAUUCUCGAUAAAAAGGAAGAGAAACAGGAAACAGGUUCAACCAUUCUCGACAAAAAGGAAAAGAAAAAGAAAACAGGCUCCGACAUUUUGGACAAAAGAGAAAAGAACAAGGAAACGAAAACAGGCUCCAGCAUUGAUCUCGACAAGAAAGAAAAGAAAAAAAUUUGAAAAGCAAGCUCCGUCAGAACGGUAACAGUAGCACCAAUGCUAAAGAAGAGCAAAUUGAACAGUAGCACCAAGGUGAAGGAAGCUCAAGACCGAUGAGAUGUCCUGGUUUCUAUAUAUCCAAUUAAUAUACCAUAUUUUAAUUAUUGUAACAAUAUGAUUGUAUUUUUUGUGAUGUAAUGAGUCGUUUGAUUCGAACCUCUGUUUGUUCAGUUUCUGCUUGCUGCUGUUGUAAUCACAAACCGUCAUGUCAAAUAAAUGGAGUGAAUAGCAAAAAACUACCAUAUUACGGGCUAUCGUUCCGGAAAACUAUCGCUUGUUUUAAUUUUUCAAAAAACUACCACAAAAGUGGCUGGCUGUUCCAAAAAACCCAAGUGGCCGAACGGUUAAGUUUUAACUGGGGUUAUGACAUGUGGGGCCCGCCCGUCAGGGUUUUGUCGGCCACAGUGCUCACGGCGCGCGGGUGACGGCCGUUAGGGCGCACGGCCCGUCCCGACGAGGUCAAAAUGGAUCCGGCCCUCACUCUGUCUCCCUCUCGCUCACUCACUCUCUCCCCCCUCACUCUCACUCUCCCCCCUCGCUCUGUUUCCCCUGGCCGAGCUCUCCAUCGUCGCUGACCACCUCAGUUCCUCGUCGCCGGCCAGGAUGCCUUCUUGGAAUGAUGGGGAUGAGAGCUCCGACGAUAGCAUGGGGGGCAACCUGAUGGACAUGGAGUACUUUGUAAGCCUCAUCGUCCUCCUCUCUGUCAUUAUCUAGGGUUAGGGUUGAAUCGAUUUGGGAAUGAGGGUUGAUGAGCUGUAUAUUUGUAUGCAUGGAUUCAUUUGGUUUGGUUAUCUAUUAGUUUUGAUCUAGGGUAUGGAUGGCACUGUGAUGUCUGAUCUGACCUUGAGCAAGGCAAAGCUUGACUCAAGUUGAACUAGUUGAUGCAUUGGUUCUGAUCUACCUUUUACUGCAUGUAGGACACACCUGACACCAUCCCUGAGCCACUCUGGUGUGGUGCUCCCAUGGAGGAAGUUGCCAAGUGUACUCUGCAUGAUAUGAAGCCUAGGAAGUGUGUUGCUUUUGAAGGUGCUAAGACUGGGAGGAGGUUCUAUGGAUGCCCUGUUCAGGUGAGUAAUUGAGUAUCCUGGGUGGAUUCAGUUAUGCCUAGUGGAUUCAGUUAUUCCUAGUGGUUACUGAAUUUGUACAUUAACUCUAUUUGAACUGAAUUUAGUACUGAAUUUAUGGUUACAUGUCCUCCUUGUGUACCAACCCUCUUUUUGAAUUGAAGUUAGAACUGAAUUUCUGCAUUUUCUGAAGUAUGUGUUCUCUGAUCAAACUACAGGGAGGUGUGAAUUGUGGUGUAGUUCAGUGGGUUGAUCCUGCCUGGCCUGAUGUACUUAAGAACUGCCUCAUCAAGUUGUGGGAAAUGUUCCAUGAGCAAAACCUUGGAAGGUUUCAAGACAAGCAUGCAUAUGAGGAUGAGGUUGCCAAGUUGAAGAAGGACUAUGAUCUGCUCUGCACUGAGUAUCAUAAAAUGGUUGAUGAUGUUAGCAAGAUGUUUGACUGGCAUGAUGGUGUUGGCAAGAUUGACUACCAAAAAGCAAUGGAUGCUGGGAAAUUUGAGAAGCAGAAGGAAGAGCUAGAGCUGGAGAUGAAGAUGGAGAAGCUAAGGCUAGCAAAAGAACAGAGGUGUAUCCUUCAGGCCCAGGCAGACAUAAUUCACAACACCAGGAAGGCAAUGAAAGAGAUAAAGGUGGACAGGGAUCUUUUUGCACAAGAGAAGACAAAGCUUGAGAAAGUAGUUGCUGAUCUGCUAAAUGCUGGCCAUGGGAGCAAGGAAAAGCUUGAGAAAAUCAAGGCCAUACUGGAGGCUUGAAGAUUUGGACAAUGGUGGUUAAGUAAGUAAGGUGGCCUACACAUAUAACAGGCCUUGCAAGAUGAUGGUAGGAGUAUAUUUUGUGCAGUCCUAUAUGAACUAUUUAAGUUAUGGUAACUAGAGUGGUGGAGAACCUUUGCUAAGUCUGGCUUAUGUUAUUGUACUGUUAAGAACCUAUCUAUCUUAAGUAAUGCAGUGAAGAACUGUUUUAUUUCUUUAGGUUGUUUUCCUGAAAGUAGCAAUGCUGAACUAGUAUAUUUUUGGGCCUAAAACCAUUAUGUACACAUUGUGGGCCUAGACUGGGCUGUUUUAUUACUCCACCUACCUACCACCAACCAUUAGUAGUCUAUAAAGCCCACCCCUUGAGUGAAACCGCAGUCAAUCCCCCCAUCCCCACCCUUCUCAACCCCCCAGCCGCCAAAGAAACCCUAGAAUCCAAGGGAGAGAUGGAUCCUGGAGAGGUCAUAGAUGGAGAAGAAGAGGUGCCCAGACAAGCCAGGCGCAGAGAUGCAAGGAGGAGGGCGAGAAGGCAACUUGCUGAGAUGAUCCUUGCAACACGCAACCGCAAGGACAUAAAGCAGUUCCUGGAGGCAUUCCCCCCUGGUUCCAACCCUAGUGAUGAUGAUAUCAUCUACUGGGCAAGGAGGAGGGCAAAUUUCCAUCCCUUUUAGGUCACUAGGCAAAGGUGGACUAGGAUUUUGUACCCAUGAUGCUGCUGUUAUGUUUCUUUGUUCCUAGAUCUGUCUUUCUAUCUAUGUGAUGUUUGAAGUUGGUGUAAGAACAAUGUUGAAUGAGCUAUGUAUGUGACGAAUCAAGUUGUCCAUGAUGCAAUGCAAUGUAUGAAGCUGGUGAAAGAAAAAUGUUGAAUGAUCUAUCUAUGUGAUGAAUCAAUCUGUCUAUGAUGCAAUUUAUGAGUGAAUCUUUUAUCUAUAUUUGUAUGUAUGAAUGAAUUGAUCUGGUGAUCUUGAUGUUUUAAGUUAGAUAUGUUAUGGUUUGUUCAGAUGGCCAUAUCUUGUUGUUUUAGGUUUGAUCUCUUAGGGUUUGGUGCCUAGAUGGGAAAAUCUUGAUGUUUUAGCUUUGAUAUGUUAGGUUUUGGUCCUAGAUAGCCACUUUGGGGUUGGUCAACAAGUAGCCACCCAAAGUGGCCAAAUUUGGGUGGCUUUAGGGUUGGUCGACAAGUUCCACCCCAAAGUGGCCAAAUGUGGCCACUUUGGGGUUGGUCGACAAGUAGCCCCCCAAAGUGACCAAAUUGACCUAAUCAUAUCAAUCAAUUAUCAACAAAAUAAAUCACUUGAUCUACAUAACAAUGCUCAGCAUAAGAAAUAAUUUCAUAUGAAACAAUUCAUAACCUAGGACAUAUCAAAUCAAAAUAAAGCUUGACAACAGAUAACUUAAUUGUUCCAAGCAGUUCAAACACAGACCAUAUAACUUAAUUGUUCCAAGCAGUUCAUACAUAGACCACAUAACUUAAUUGUUCAAAUGAAAAAAAAGUUCACUGCAAAUAACACAGAUAGCAAGCAUGCCUAGCAAGUAGAGUUCAAGGCAUAAAGCAUAGUUGAGUGCAACACAUUCAAUGGUUGCCACUGGCUGUGAAAUACAAAGCAAGUUUGCUUGGGGCCUUCCUCUUCCUCUUAGAACCAACAUCAGCUUGACCUGAUGUUGAUGCUGCCCUUGGAGCAUUGAAACCUCUUGCACUUGACCUGGUGUUCUUUACUGGAGAUGAUGCACUUGACCUGGUGUUGUUGGCUGGUGCUGAAGCAGGUGGUGGGUUCUUUCUCUUUCUUGAUCCACCUGUUGAAACUGCAGUAGAUGUGGUUGCCCUUGUUGUAGCAGAUGUGGUUGACCUUGUUGAAGUUGUUGCUAGUUUCCUGCCCCUAAGUGGUCCUAAAGCUGGAGCUGGACCUGAAGCUGGAGCUGGACUUGAAGCUGGAGCUGGACCUGAUGAUGUGGCCUGGUGGUUGUUUUUCCUUGUCAUAAACUUGGCCUUAAGUCCGUCUCCAUAGAUUGUCCACCUGUGGCCUUGCAGACCACAGUUACUGCAUGUUAUUGUGCCCAUCCUUGAUGUAUCCUUUGGAGCUGGCACCUCAAAUUCACCCUUUCUCCUAGCUGUCUGCUUCUUGCCUUUCUUCUCCCUGAAAACUGGUGGUUCUAUGUCUGGUGUGUUGGUGUUGGGCCAGAAUUCAGGGCCAGGGACAGGGUAGAUGAUGUGCUGGUAUGCAGCCUUAUACAUUGGCUUCUUAAAGAAUGGAUGCACAUAAUCUUCUGGGUGAACUUUUAUCUUCUGCAUUGCAGAUAUUGCAUGGUGGCAAGGUGAUCCAGUCAUGUCCCACCUCCUGCAAGAGCAGCUCCCUACAUCAAGCUUCACACAAUAUGUGUUCUCUCCACUAGUUACUUGCCAGAUGUUGGGACCAGCCAUGUUUGCUUCACAGUAUUUAGCCCACUUCUUGCUCUCCUCAAGCUUCUCCAUGUAAUCUGGGGUUAUUUCCCACCUACAGCUCUCUGUUUUCUCUCUGAUGCCCUGGUACUUAACCAUUAGUUUGGUCCUCAACCCUUCAAACAUGGUCUUAAUUAGUUUUGACCUAACAUCUAGAAUCAUUUUUUUGAAAACCUCACUAAGGUUGUUCACUACCAAGUCAGUCUUGCACACAUGAUCCAUUGCAUAUCUAGCCCAACACUCCUUAGGGAUGCCAUUCAACCACAUGUAGGCUGGUUCACAUGCUGCUUUCAAACCUGCCAUUCCUUCUUUGUGACCAUGUUUAGUGAAGGAAUAGCUAGCUUUGUCAACCCAUUUCUUAAGUUCUUCUGCUCUAAAGCCAGCUGACUGGAAGUUGGCAUAUAUGUGUCUUAGGCAAUAUCUUUGUGGGGAUUGAGGAAAUACUUCAUUAAUUGCUUUAAGAAGGCCCUGUUGUUUGAUUACAUAAGGUAGUAAUGAGAUAACUAUAGCAGCAUUGCUAUGUGCAUAAGAAUAAUACAGAGCCAGAGAAAAUACCUUCUGCCUGUCAGACAUGAUGGUGUAGUUUCCAAACUGGUUGCUGGUGCCAAUGCAGACUCUAAGUUGGUUUAAAAACCAGGUCCAGCUAGGCCCAUCCUCUUUGUCAACCACCCCAAAAGCAAUUGGGAACACAUUGUUGUUCCCAUCUCUCCCAGUUGCUACCAAUAUCUGUUGGCCUGUGGAUAACUUGAUGAAGCAACCAUCAAGUCUUGCAUAAACAGAGAUAGUUAGGGCAAAAUUGAAUAACUUGAUUACAUUUGUAACAUGAUUAAAUCACUGAUUUGUACCUAUGAAAGGCCUACAACCAGCAAGAAAUCCAUCUUUUGAUGCCUGGAGGCAAUAGAACAUGUACUUGAACCUUGGUGUGGGGGCUGGGUUCAAAGGAUCCUCAAAAGUUGUCACUAUGCACCUGCUUCCAGGGUUUGUGUCAAGCACACAUUGUAGGUAGUCCCUCAACCUCAGAUACUGCUUUCUAUGAUCACCUUGCACAACAUCAACAGCCAUCAGUCUUGCCCUAUAUGCCAAACUCCUAGGUACAUGCACCCCAAACUUCUUCUUAGUAUGUUUGAGAACUGUCUCUACAUCAGCCUUUACAUUUGAUCUAACUGUGUCCUCCACAGCUUCUGCAACCCAUUCAGCAGUAACCUUUGUACUCUCUCCACAAGCUCCACAACUAUGAUCCAUGUGGCACUUCUUGAUUGUGAAUGUAUCUUCAUGGGCUACUUUGGAUGCAGUCAUGAAAAAAUCACAUCCAUUCUUCCUCUCUGGGCACCAAACAAUAACCCUUGAUGGUUCAUUCCUAUGGUACUGAAAGUUUCUCAAAGUCCUAACAUGAAAAUUUCUCAAUGCCUUUCUAAACUCAUACACAUUGGUGAAGCAAAGGUCCUUGCACAGCUGCUCAUGUGCAUCAGGUACCUUUGGGUCAUACCAUUUCCUCUCUUUCUUCUUCUUCAAUCUUCUCUUCCUUCCAGAAGGUAGUCUUGGAGUCUCCCCAUCUGAGUCAGAAAUGCCCAUAUCACCAGGGAAGCAAUACUCAUCAGCUUCAAGUACAAAAUCUUGAAACUUUGGGAUCUCUGGCUGACUGUGAGCUCUGGAAGUUGGACCUGGAUUUGCUACUGCUCUUCUCACAGGCUUGAGUUUCUCAGGCCUGCAUUUUUCCACAACUAUUUCCUCUCCACUGUCUGCCUCUUUCUCCUCCUGCCAAAACUCUGAAACAUCACUGUCACCUUCAAACUGUGGUCUGUCUUCUAUAGCAUCUCUUUCUUCUUCAUUUCCAAUAUUUUCUUCACCUCUCUUCCAAGCCUUGUAAGACAUCUUUAUCCCUCUAUAGUCACCCCUAUCAAUCUCAAAGUCUGAGGAUGAUUUGUCAAUAUCAUCAUCCUCUUGACCAGCAGCCUGUCCAUCAUCAUCUCCACCAUUAGCUUCUGAAAUGUUGAAGUUACAGCUUUGCUGUGUGUUCAAAUUAACUUCAAGAGGGUGGACCACUCCAUCUUGUGACAGACUUAACACAAAACCAGGACCCCCCAGUGGGUUGCCUAUUGGAAUUUGUUCUUCACAAACAUUGUGAGCCCUGUUACAUUCAACAUCUCUAUCUUCAUUUGCCUUGGAAACAAUGAUAUUGAGCACUGUGAAAUCUAAGUGGUCUAUCAUUUCUUCAACUGCAUCUUGACUGUCCAAAAGAAAUAAACCUUCCUGUCCAAUCCCUUGUUCUUUUACCCAGUACAUGUAGUCAUCUGACCCAUAGCCUUCAGUCUCAGUAAGUGCUAUCAAGUUCAGAAAUGUGAUGUCUGAAACAGAAAACCUCCUUUCCAUAUUAUCUCUGCCCUGGAAAUGCAGCCUAACAUCCCAAACUUCAUCAUCUAGCCUGCAUUACAUAAUAUGUUAUUUGAAAAGCCCAACUAAGUAAGUGUUUUUGCUACAAAUAUUCAGUGCACACUACUAUAAAGUACAGUAAGGAAUCUGAAUCCAAAAAAUGCUUCUCUGAAUCCACCAUGCAUUUCUACUAAAUCUAACUAAUCCUUCAGUGCUAAGUGAUACUGUUGCAUCCAAAACAUGCCACAGAGUGUUUGCUCAACUAUUAUUCAGUGCAUGUUCAUGUUCUAAGAUGAAUCACAGCAGCAUCAACCUAGGGUUUGGUCAAAAAACUAACUAAAUUAUGCUAUGUUAUUUGAAAUGAACAAGCAGAAAUGCAGAAACUGUUGAAGGAGCUCAUAAGAGGAAAAAAACUUACUCCACCCCUCCAAAUGCAGAGGCCCAGUGCUGGGAGUUGGCCGGAUCUGCCUGCACAGCCCUAUCAAGAGACCUCGCUGCUCUGUACUCAAGCGAGAACUGGCAAUCAUCAGGCGACGGUGGUGUAGCCUGUGUCGUAGGAGCCUGCAUCAGAGCUGCAGCCUGUGGUGUCCGCUGCGGCGGCGGCGGCGCCGCCGGCUAGGUUGCGAAGCUACCACUCCCCAGCCAGUUAUCAACCUCUAAGAACUCGCCGCCUCCAUCCCCCCUUCCACCUCCACCCGUUGAAUGGCCGCCAUCGCCUAGUUUCGCCGCCGCCGCCGCCAUCGGAGAGGGAGGCGCGCACAAGAGAGAGGGAGACAGAGAGGGGGAAGACAGAGUGAGGGCGGGCCGGAUCCAUUUGACUUGGUCGGGACGGCCCGUGUGCCCUAACGGCCGUCACCCGCGCGCCGUGAGCACUGUGGCCGACAAAACCCUGACGGGCGGGCCCCACAUGUCAUAACCCCAGUUAAAACUUAACCGUUCGGCCACUUGGGUUUUUUGGAACAGCCAGCCACUUUUGUGGUAGUUUUUUGAAAAAUUAAAAAAAGCGGUAGUUUUCCGGAACGAUAGCCUGUAAUGUGGUAGUUUUUUGCUAUUUACUCCAAAUAAAUGCUUAAAAAGAGUGCAUCUAAUGGAGUAGUACAAAAUGGUAAAGAAAAUAAAUCAGCCACUAAUGGAGUAACAAAGGUGAUAGCACGGAGUUUGGUAGGCACCGACAAUGAGUAAGCAGGCUGAGGCCACCGGUGCACGAAGAGGAUCAGAAGCGCUGGUUGGGGCUGUGGUUUGGGGCGGCUGCGAUGAAACUUCUUAUUCAACGCUUAUAGCACCGUUUACAGUGUUAUCGGUACCUUUUUUUUGAGGGAAAGAGCCAACUUUAUUAAUCAAAAUCCACAGUGCGUGGGACACAACGAUGGUCAUGGGGCUGGCCAAGCCACACAUGACGCCCUGGUGGUAGCGAUAAAGAAAACCUAGCUAUCUCGUGAGCUUCAGCAUUCUGAGCUCGACUCUCAAAGGUGAAAUUACAUAAAAGUGGUGAUGAGCUCAUCUUUAUCUCUCUGAUUAUAGCUCCAUAAGUGCCAUGACUACCCAUAGCAAUGUCGCCAAUGACUUGUUUGCAGUCCGAAGCCACCACAAAACGUUGCACAUUAAGAUCUUGUGCUAGGGAAAUAGCCUCCCGACAUGCUAUGGCCUCCAGUGUCGCGGGGUCGCAAACUCCGACAAUGACAAGUGAUGAGCUCCCCAUAUAGACACCCUGGCUGUCACUGCAUAUGGCCGCGGCCGUGCCACCCCUCUGAAAUCUUACUGCCACGUCAACAUGAACCUUAGCAUAGCCAGCAGGUGGAGCCUUCAGCCUCUGAGUAGAAGCGUGGCCAGUAGCUGCAGAACGUACGUUGAUCUUUGCAGGGAGUGAGGCAGUAGCCAAAUCAGCCAUGAAGCGAGUUAUAAACUCCUUCGUCGCCCUGGGUGAUUGGAAUAUUGAUUCAUGGAUAGCUUUUCUCCUCGAGGUCCAGAUCGCCCAUAAGGUGACCGCCAGCAGAGUGAACUUCUCAUGUGUUAGCAUAUCCAUUAAUCCAAAGAGCCAGCUCUUCGCCCUCGUCUCCGUUGAUGCGACCAGACUGCAGCCCAAGUCCUCAUCUACCAACGCCCAUAUGCAUCUGGAGACUGUGCACUCCAGGAGGGAAUGACUCCAUGAAUCAGGAGAACCGCAGAGGCCGCACGAGCUAGUCGUUGACAUAUUACGAUGGGCCCUCACAUCCUCCGUCGGUAGUGACUGUUUUGAUAAACGCCAUAGAAACAUGCGUACUUUUGCUGGUACCACAGUUUUCCAGAGGGACUUCCAAGAGGCUUCAUCGACAUGGUUGCUGGAUGAUGCGCCGGAGCCCUCUAGCCACGCCUCUCGCCGUUGCUUCAUAGAUACCAACAUAUUAUAGGCUGACCUGACUGUGAAUUGUCCGGUUCUCUCGUGCAUCCAGCUCCAAAAGUCCUGCAUAGGAGCCGUACACAACGGGAUACCCAUGAUGAUUUUAGCAUCGAAAGGCAAGAAAGUUGCUUCCACCACAGAUCUCUUCCAUGAAGCAUUAGUUGCAUCGAUCAGUUCAGAUACUGUGUUGGGAGGAUUACUUACGCAACAACCAUACGGUCUCAUCAUCUCUGACCGGGGAAGCCAGUUUUCGGUCCAAAUGCUGGUGCUCGCCCCAUCUCCUAUCCGCUUGAUCAGUCCCAAUUUAAGAAUAUCCCGGCCUUCCACUAUGGCUCUCCAUAUCUGACUUGGAUGGUUCCCAAGUGUUGCCUCAAGUAUAGAUGUAUGUGGAAAAUAUACGCUCUUCAGAAUCCGUGCACUCAGAGACUCGGGGUCUUGUAACAUUCUCCAUGCCUGCCUGGCUAACAUGGCAAGAUUGAAAAGCUCAAAAUCUUUGAAUCCAAGGCCUCCCAUGCUUUUUGGUUGUGUCAUUGCUUCCCAAGAGACCCAGUGAGGUUUGCGUUGGCCGUUUGAGCUCCCCCACCAAAAUUUCCUUAUUAGCAUAUUGAGGUGCUCACAUAACCCCCUAGGUAGUUUGAAACAAGACAUGGAAAAUACCGGCACUGACUGGGCAACAGAUUUGACUAGUACCUCUUUUCCUGCCGCCGACAAAGUUCUCUCUAUCCAUCCCUGAAUUUUGCUCCAUAAUCUGUCCUUCAAAUAUUUGAAGGCACCGUUUUUUGAACUCCCUAUAUCAGAUGGCAUGCCCAGAUACUUCUCAUUCAAGGUUUCCUUGGGGACAUUGAACAUACCUUUUAUAGCAUUGCGAGUUUCCUCAGAAACGCCUUUACUAAAGAAAAUUGAGGAUUUGUUGUAGUUGAUUCUUUGACCUGAAGCUUGGCUAUAAAUUUCCAACAACUGGUUAACCUCUGUAGCACCCGCACUGUUGGCCUUGAAGAACAGCAGGCUGUCAUCAGCGAAUAGAAGAUGGUUAACUAGUGGUGCCUGCAGCGCCACCUGAAUCCCACCCAAGUUUGAUGACUCACUUUGUGAUUUGAAAAGGCACGACAUGCCCUCUGCUGCUAACAAGAACAAGUACGGUGAUAUUGGGUCACCUUGUCGGAUUCCACGUGAUGGGUUGAACUCCUCAAGUUUCUUUCCAUUGAACAUGACUGCGAAUUUUACUGAGGUAACCAUGCCCAUUACAAUAUCCACCCACCUUCUGUUAAAACCCAAUAUAAUCAUGAUGGCUUAGAGAUAAGCCCAUUCAACUCGAUCAUACGCCUUCAUCAUAUCCAAUUUCAGAGCACAUGAGUGAUUUUUCUUUUCCUUGUUCCUCUUCAUGAAAUGCAAUCACUCAUAUGCCGUUAUUAUGUUGUCUGUGAUCAAUCUCCCCGGAACAAAGGCUGAUUGUUCAGCAGAAAUUAUAUCUGGCAGUAUCUGUUUGAGUCUGUUGGAGAUUACCUUGGACGCUAUUUUAUAGAGCACGUUACAUAAACUUAUGGGCCGAAACUGGGCAAGGAGUGUGGGGUUUUUGACCUUGGGGAUGAGAACCAGCACCGUAUUGUUAAUGCAUGCUGCUGACUCUGUCCCGUCCACAAUUUUGAGUACCACUUUCGUUACAUCUGCACCGCAUACAUCCCAGUGGCGCUGAAAGAAGUGAGCGGGGAAUCCAUCCGGGCCAGGGGCUUUGAUUGGAAACAUUUGGAACAACACACUUUUCACUUCAUCGUGUGUGUAAGGAGCAUUCAGACGAUCGUUCAUUGCCUGCGUUACUUUAGUAGAUACUGACUCCAGUACCCUAUCCAUGCCCUGUACUCCCUCGGUUGUGUAUAAGUUUUUGUAAAAUUCGGUGGUAAGCUCCUCCAUCUCCUCCCUGUCCUCGGUCAGCUAUCCAUCCGAUCGCUGCAACAAUUUUAUCUGGUUCUUCCGGCGGCGGCGGCUCGCUCGCAGGUGAAAAGAAUAAGUGUUUUUGUCACCAUGGACCAGCCAAUCCAGUCGAGCGCGUUGGCGCCACAUCAAUUCCUCUCUAUCAAACAGUUCGACCAGUCUGUCAGCUAUCUUGGUUUCAGUGUUUGUCGGUCCCGUCCGUCCUGGCGCUGAACGCAUGACCUCAAGCUGGCGUUGGAGUUGGCGAAUCUCCAUACGCACCGAUCCGAAGUUGUUGCGGUCCCACGCUGACAAAUCUCCCGCCAGGUUCCCUAGUUUUGCAUGUAUGCCCUCAACCGAUUCUCCAUCCUGCAGACUCCAGCUAUCACGCACAGUGUCAAACAGUGUUUCGUCCCUUUCCCACAUCGUCUCAUAUUUAAAAGCCUUGUGGCCCAUUUUGCAUGCAUGCAACUCACGUAGCUGAAGAAGAAUAGGAAUGUGAUCUGAACUAGCAGCACUUUUGUGCGAUAGCUGUGAUGAUGCGAGGGCGAGAGUCCAUUCUGUAUUUACCAGGCACCUGUCCAGCCUAACCUGGGUGUAGGUGCCUCCUGUGACCCUUUUUUCAAAUGUCCAACUAGUGCCAGAGUAUCCAAUAUCUGAUAACCCACAUGUAUCAACUGCUUCCCUGAAUGCUUCUAUUUGGGCUUGGCUUCGUUGUCCCACACCAUCAUGUUCAUGGCUGUGAAGAACCUCAUUAAAAUCUUCCAUGACUGCCCACGGUCUGUUCUGCGUCUCAGCAAUACCGCGCAGGGUGUCCCAUGUUUUGUAUCUCUCUGGUACCUGGGCUUCGCCAUAGACAAAGGUAAUUCUUACCUGCAAAUCAACUAAGUCAUCAACAAGAAUAUCAAUGUGAUACUUUGAGUAAUCGAUAACUUCCACUUUUAUUUCAUCGUUCCAAAAAAUUCCAAGUCCACCACUUCUACCGGAACUACUAACUGCAAAGCUUUUAUUGUAGCCUAUGCUAUCAGCCAUACUCUCAACCCUCUUUCCCUCUAUUUGAGUUUCAAGAAUACAAACAAUAGAGGGGGCAAACUGCCUCGCUAGAUCGUGAAGCUCUCUAACUGUCGCGGCUUUGCCAAUCCCGCGAAAGUUCCAGCAAAGAAGACUCAUUGCGCUAGGCGCGGCCCCGCUUCGGAGCCCGCCACAUGCGCAUCAGGGUUUUUGGUAGAAACUGUGCUCUUCUCCAGAGCUGACUCAUUAGACGAGGUUGACUUCAAUCUUUUCAGAUCCUGCUUGGGAGGAGGGCUAAGGGGCACCGCAGGUGAUGGCAGAAACAGUUGCUUCGUCUGUUGUACCGAAUAGGUUGGGAACGUGGUUUUUGGAUCAUGUGCCCCUCUCUUCCUGUUGCGAUCAACCUCAGUCAUUGCUACAUCUCCGUCUCGCUGAUCACGUUCCUGGUGAUGUUGAUCAUCAAACGAGUCUGCACUAUUGGGCGAUCGUCCUCUUCCUCUUCCCCCACGGCCUCUGCCGCGACCUCUCCCUGCAUUGCUGCUCUCGCCUUGAUAUCUUUGAAGACCAGAGUCUUUGGGGCAUGAACCCCGUCCCCGCACUCUUUGUGUUGGUGACCUAGAUGUCCACAAACUGCACACCAGUCCGGCAGUCUUUCAUAUUUGACUCUAAAGAUGACUCGUUCCACCGAAUCCUUUUUCCUUAUUACCAGUGAAACAACGUUCUUCAAAGGUUUAGUGACAUCGAUCCUGACUCAAACUCUAGCAAAGUUACCUUCAAAAUCCGGGGAUCUAGGCUCUGCAUAUAUGAAUUCUCCCAUAGUAGCAGACAUAGCUUUGACCUUAGAAAAGAAGCCAUCGGGCAGGUCGUGAAUCUGGAUCCAAAUUUCCAAUUUGUUGAGCUCUAUAGACGACGGCUUUGUGAAGCCAUCAUACUCUGCCAGAACUACUGCUUUCCCCUUGAAAUUCCAGGGGCCAUCUCCCAUAACCCUCUCCCAGUCACCCAGGCACGAGAAUUGCAUUGAGUACAGAUUAUCUUCCAGUGGUCUGAUCUUUACCUCUUGAGCUAGGUCCCAGGCCACUCUCAUAUUCCUAUAAAACCAAUAUUGGCUGUAUGUUUUCUCCGUGUGAACCCUAGCCAACGCCAUCCAGCGUGUUUCUUCCUUCGGCAGCUCGGUGUCUUCCACCACAACAUCAAUCAGAUCAUCUUCUUUCAGUCCAAGUUCCUCCAUCAUCGCAGCCAGAUUGGACGCAGUUGUACUUGAUCCAGAUGCAGUCGAACUCAUCAUGCGCUCGCUCGAGGUUAGGGUUCCGCGAGCGGUAGGUCCCAAGGAGUCACCACCCGCCCAGAACGCCGCGGCGGCCGAAGGCCACAGCGAUCGCCGGAAGGGGGUUAACAUCCGGGGAGGAAAAGUCCCUACGGUGUCGGCGUCGCCGUCGCUCGAGGGAAGAGAAAAACCCUAACGAGAGGGGAAACUUAGGAGGGAGAUUAGUGUUAUCGGUACCUGCCGCCCACACUACUUUAGAUAGCUAAUUGUAACUGGGCUGGCCCAUAUGUGUGAGCCCUCCUCCAUUACCGGUUGUGAAGGAAUUUCCUAUUCAACGCUUAUACCAUUUGUUAUAGUGUUUUCCUUUUGUUACAGUGUUAUCCGGGGACCUCCUACUUGGUCACCUGCGCGCAAAGUAGGAGGGAACGUGCACCCUUGGCUCCCAUGUAAGAGUUUUUCCCGCCCUAUUUUUAUUAUUUCAUUUUUAUGCCUUUUGUUUUUUCAUUUCUGUUUGUGUUUUUCUUCUUUAAAUAAUGUGUGGUUAAAAAAAUUCCCAAUUUCAAAACAAUACCAAAAUUGUUUGACAAAUCAGGAAAUAUUUGUGAAUUAAAAAUUGUUGAUGACUCUUCACUUCAGUGUCUCGACCCACCGGAACAAAAGCCGUGUGUACAAAUUGUGUUCGAAGCUUAUCGUAAACUGGCUUAGCAAGUGUAGUCUUGCCAAGUCUGCCUGGUCCAACAAUUGAGACCAUCUUCAUCUUGUGCUGCUGUUGCUUGAGACCAUGUGUGAGCCUCUUGGUUAGCUUGUUCCAUGCAUCUUCAAUGCCAACGAGCUCUUUCUGAUCAUUGUACAAAGCCAAUACACGAGGGUCAACCUUCUGUUUGCUAGCUGGAUUAGGAACAUCAUUGACCCUGUAUCUGGCACGCCGGCCAGCCAUCUCUUGAGAGCGGUUCUUGAUGUACCUGAUUGCAUCUCCGAUCUGAUGGCGAGUCUUGCCUUUUGUGAACAAGUUGGCCAUCUUCCCUACCUAUCAUUUGAUCAUGUUUGAGUUGGGGACGGCAUCAGAUUCAUAUCCCUCGACGGACACUAGGAAGUUAUCGAUGACAUCCUCCAUGUCAUACGACAGCUCCCUUUUAGGGAUUCAUGUCCCUUGGAAUCUCCGCCACCUUUACGAGGGCAGCGUUCAAGCUCUUCAUGUCCCUCUGGAGGGACUCGACGUACCGAAUAAAUGGGAGUUAGAGGACAGGAAUCUGUUGUAGGAAAGACAAAGGAAAUUGUUCUCCAUCGCCGUCCGGUUCCACUGGGAAAAAAUUACAUCCACUGCAACACCAAGACCGCAUGCUUACCGAGUAGUAGUAGAAGCAGCAGAGCUGAGUAAGGCACCCACUACCGAAUGCAGGGAUAAAUCCAGCACCAAGUAAGCAGCUCACAAGUGAGAGACGGCAUGCGCUUUGCGAACGGAAGGACAGGAGCAGAAAACAUUUUGGGAGAAAGAUCGACGUGGCUCAGAAAAUUGAAGGCGGUCUACUCCUCCUGAUUGAAGCCGGCGACUACACAAGCGCCAUGGUUUGAUGGAGCAAGAGAAAUGGUGUUGAACCCCCAACUCGUUCCAUUUCUAGCAGAAAAGUAGGGCAAUAAUUGAGUGGUGGUAUGUUAUUAGUGCUGGUAAUGGAGUAGGAAGCACCCUAGAAGUGCACCAACUAGUACAUCAAAAUACUCCUGCCAGUGGCGGUGGUAGAUCAUUCAUGUGUACUACUCGAUCGUAACAAGAACAAUUACAUGAACCAGCUUGUGCCACUAGUAAUAAUAUUUAGCUUAUUUUUACAUUAAGUUUUGCAAUGAAUAAUAUUUAGGUUAUUAAAAAGACUAUAGUUUAAUGGAUGGCCCAGAUUUGGAAAUAUUACUGCAGAUUUUUGGUAGUAAUAGACUUGCUUCACUUGUCGAUUUAUAUGAUCUGUCGCUUUCAGCGACGUUUGGGGCUGUGAUUUGGGUUUGUUGUCAUUGAAAUUGCACAACUAUAGAAACUGGAUUCUUUUUUAUUAUUAUAGUGAGCACAAGGAAUCAUGUUACUAGUUGAAUUCAUAGAAAAAGACUCCAUUCAGACUCUGUCCUGCUCCAUGAAAAUAUCCUAUCAGAUAGACGCAGAGCGGUACAUAUACAGACUCAGGUUUCUUGAAAUCUAAUGCAACCAAGUCUUGUACAAUGGUCACAUGUUAUGUGACCUGAACCAAUUAUGGGUUUGCACUUGAUAAUUCCCGCACGAACCACAUGUAAACAUGGUUCGAAGGCUUGAAUAACAAUGUAAAAUUGAUGUCAAGUUUUCCCGACUUGAUUCCUGUCUAGGUUGGAGUCAUCAGUCUACUUGAAGCACUCGUUUUUCUCAUCUACGUUGGAGGACUGAUUGGAGCAUGAAUUAGUUGAGGAGAUAGAAACCCAUUUUUGGCGAGGGAGAGGACAGAAACCCAUGACACAACAAGGUUUUCAUGAUCAUCAUUGGCUAACUUCAAAGUUCCAACAGAGUGCCAACUACCAAGUGAGUAGCAGUACAAGGCACUGUUCAGCUGAAUCAAUCUUUACAACAUUAACCUAUCAUUCACUGGCGUUUCAUACCCAGAAUUGACUCUUAUAACAGUACAGAAGCAAACCCCUACUUCGAGUCAGUGUUGCUCUGUACUUUUUUUAACGGAGGUUAUAACUACGGCCUCUUUAUUUAUUAUUCAGCGGCCAUCUUUAUUUAUUAUUCCACCAAAGUCUAACAAAAACAUACAUCAAGCUACUCGAAGACAUCACUCACACCUACAAAACUCGAAAAUGUAGAGUGCUCUCACACUCCUCAUAUCUAAACCGGUAUCGUCGCUGAUCCAUCCACAUAACGUGUCGGAACGAACAGCCAGUGCAGCAGACCUAAAGCGCACACCACAUGCACAUGUUUUAGACGCCGCCAUCAUCUGCAGACCGCUGACCCAUCUUCAGGAGAGAGAUCCACAUCAUCCUUGCCAGUCCGUCCAUCCAGUCCCUCCCUCCUCUCGGCCUCCCUAUUAUCCCUCCUCACCCUCUGCUGCUGAUCUGUGGCGGCCUCUCCAAUAGCUCUGUGGCCUUCUUUCGCUGCCGCACCGGCCCGAGCGUUGUCGCUUGCAAGCCGUCCGGAGGCCACAAUGGCGCUCUCCCGUCGGGACUUUGCCACAUUCCAGCAUAUCAGUUGCUCUGUCAUGGGGAUCUGUCCUGCUCCUAGCCGUGUCUCCCGCGAUGGUGGUAGACCUGACUUGUACUACAAUGUUCUUUGGUCGCACGGCUGGCCACGGCGGUUUGCUCCGUUCCUUUGUAUCUAUGUUGCAGCUUCAAUUGUGUUAUGCAUGUCAUGGAUGUAUUAUAAUUCUGGGAUGCAUGUAAUUGUAUUGCUAUGAAUCUUAAAAUUGCUAGGUGUUCCAUGAACCAAUGAAUAUGCUAGAAAAUAUUACUCUGUCAUAUAUAUGUUAGAAAAUGUUCUCGUCGGGCCGGGUUUCUCUGCCCUAGAGAACAUAUUCUACAUGUUAUAUGCGACAAUGUAGUGAUGAAUAUUUCACCGGAAAUAGUGUAAAUGCAACCAACUCCCCCAUUAGGAGACAGAGUGGAAUAUUGUUUGACGAUAGACUUGGUUUAUGCAUAUUCGACGCACGUUUGAAUUUUUUCUCCCGAGCCACAAGAAAGCUCCUCGCGCGACCGCGUCCGUCCCUCAUGGGCGGCCGGCCGCGCUGUCCAUCCCUCCUUCCCAGCGCUCUCCCCCACCCUCUCUCUCCCCACCGUUGCCGGGGUGCAUCCCCGGGCUCGGCUCGGGCGGCGCCGGCGGUGCGGCCCACGGCUUUCCCCCCUGCGGCAGAUCCUGUGCGGGGCGGCGCUGCUUAAGGAGGUGCUCUCAGGUGGCGAUGGUUCGGCGCUGCGGUGGGCUGGUUCGCCGCUGACUUCGGUGGUCAGAGGCGGAGGAGCUCCGCGGCGGCGCGGGCUGGUGGCGCCCGUUCGGCCCAGAUCUGGGCCGAGGCGGGCCGGCAGCUCCGAUUUGUGGUGUAUCUUCCUGGAAGCGGCGGUGGGGUGUCUGGAUCCUGGGUGGUGGCGGCAUCGUUGCCGGAUUGUGCAGCGUGGCGGUGGAGUCUUUGCGGGAUCGAUCUGAGCCCGGCUAGGCCCGGGUGGCCUGGUUUGCCUCCCGCCUCGGCGUCCGGCUGGCUACCGCGAUGGCGUUGGAGGAACUGGCCUCUGGCGCGGCGUCGGUGGAGGUUGUCCCCUCCCGCUUGGCUGCGGUGCUGCCACCCCCGGCUCCAUGCGUUCUCAUUUUCCGUCCUCUAGGCCUCGCGGUGGUGGCCUUAGUGAGACGGCGUGGGUGGCCUCAAGACCGCGGUGGCGAAGGAGGGUGGGUGGCGUGUUGGGUGGAAGACUCCGGAGCGAUUGGGUAGUGUGCACAAGUGUUAGAAUCCUAAAAGGUAAAUAGUUUCUUAAGAUCUGAAGCAAGUGUUGGAAGAUUCUGCUGCCUCUAGAUACACAACAAAUGUCCACAUGUUGCUUCUUGGAGAAGCCGAGAGAGCCUUGAGCGGAGUGUUUAACCUUAUGUAUGAUAUUCUUAACUACCAUUUGUAUUAAAUGAACCAAUAAACAUUUUAUGUUAAUUGUCUUGACAAAUUUUGCUGUGUGCAGACUUACAUAUUAGUGGCACUACACAAAAAAAGAUGGCUAAGGGGUUUAUGAAGUAGGAUAGAGAUUGGUGAGAAAAUAUGUGCCCUCUCUCUCGUUUGUAAAGAGGUUCAAAUGUUAUGUGUGUAGCUUUUGCUAGUAUUCUCGAAUCGUUGGCCGUGAAUUGUCAAUUGUGUAAAUGUACAUGUGAAUUGUCUUAUGAAAAACAAUGUGCAACUGAGUGAUUAUGCCUGUGUAUUGUGUUCAUGUCUUUCUGUAAAUUUCGUUUGCAUUGCUGGUAACAUACUGAAAUGAAGUGCAUGCAUGCAAUGGUGAAAUGAAUCGGUACGAUCGACUGGCUGGCGGUCCAAACUAGUACACUAUCACUGACCGGUUAGAUUGCGGGUCUAUGAUGAGCAAGUCAUCACAAACCCUGAUCCACUGACAGACCAGCAACUAGUUAGUGAUGAUGAAAUUUGGCCGGUAAGUGUUAUUCGGAUUUGUAGUANNNNNNNNNNNNNNNNNNNNNNNNNNNNNNNNNNNNNNNNNNNNNNNNNNNNNNNNNNNNNNNNNNNNNNNNNNNNNNNNNNNNNNNNNNNNNNNNNNNNNNNNNNNNNNNNNNNNNNNNNNNNNNNNNNNNNNNNNNNNNNNNNNNNNNNNNNNNNNNNNNNNNNNNNNNNNNNNNNNNNNNNNNNNNNNNNNNNNNNNNNNNNNNNNNNNNNNNNNNNNNNNNNNNNNNNNNNNNNNNNNNNNNNNNNNNNNNNNNNNNNNNNNNNNNNNNNNNNNNNNNNNNNNNNNNNNNNNNNNNNNNNNNNNNNNNNNNNNNNNNCUCGGGUUUCUGCCCCUUUAUGAUAUAUGAGAAAACUGAACGAUUCAGGUGAAACUAGUCAUGAUAAUAAUUAGCAAUUCUAGUAUUUUAACACACAUAUCCCAAUCACUAUAGUUUUUUCAAACGACUAUUUUAACAACGCAUCUACGAUUCAUAGUAAAAUGUGACAUUGUAUACUGUAAAAUUUCUACAAUCUACAAGGUCAAAUUUAUUGUAAAUGUGACCACAACACCAGAUACACUAGAAAUAAAGUAAAACCCUAAAAGUCCCAUGCUAGCUAGACUACUCUUGGUUGGCUAGAAAUUAGGAGGGAGUACCCAGAUGCCAGUUUGAGCACGAGCUGCUACAUAAGAUCCCGCUGAUUUGAUCCUCUGUGUGACAUUGUCGCUACUUUCAUCUUGCAUAGGAUAUACACGGUUACCAUUGCCAUCAAAACUUGCCAAGUAUGUCAUAUCAUCAGCGUAGAUGUGGUUUCUCUGCACCCUGUCGCGCCCAACCACCGGCACGUCAACCGCCCUGGACAUUUUCCCCAAAAAUAAGGCGGAGUCACCCAAGGUCCUUACUUCCUCCCACUUACGAGCAUACUUUGUCAUCGAGUCAUCAUCCAACACAUAAACCUUGAAGAAAGGCUCAGGGCCGGUGUGGUAUGAUGGGAAUUUCCCCAGUACCAUCGCUAGCUUCCCUUGCAGCUCAACAAUGUGAGUCGACCAUGUGAAAGGUUCACUAACAAUCUUGAUAUGCAACUCGGCGUCAAUGGCGAGCAGAGGCCUGCCAUAUUUGUUCGCGCCUAUGUUGAAUUUGAUCAGGUCAUUGGAGAAUAUUAUAUUAAUGUCAAUUUAAUAUUAUACUAUGUGUCGUCAAUUUAAAAGGCUCCUGCCGUCAUGCCUUUGAGUAUUAUAUUAAUGUCAAAUUGUUUAAAUGCUAGUAAUUAGUUAACUUAGAAGCAAACUGUUUAUUGAUAAAAUGCUAUAGUAUAAUUAAGGGAGUUUUUUUUUUGAAAAAUAAUAAUGUUAGAUAUAUGCUGAUGCAACAAGGGCAUGAUUUUAUUUGUUAGCAAUACUAAUAAAAAAGUUCAUAGAAAAUAAUUUUAUACUCCCGAGGGUUAUACACAUAGUUUAAUUUGUUAAUUGUUAAAAAGUUAGCUAUACAACUAGCUAUAUAUUUGUAAAUACUAAUUAGUAGUGUAAAAAAGCAGGAACGAGCACCCGCCUAUGAUACCUUGAUUUACCAACACAAAACGUGCAUCUUGUGUGUAUGAUUGUGAAAUGCACGUUGUGUGUGGAGUUUGACAUCUAAUUUUUAACCCGCUGUUGGUCUUUCAUAUAGAGGAAUGUCUCGCUGUGCUUCCACGAGUCCCUGUAGUUCGCUACGGCUCAGAAACACAGUGUUCGGACGUCAGAUACACUAAAGUUGCACUAUGACAACCAUUGUACAAUCCAGCCCGCCUCAGUUAUAUUAAUAAAAAUAUCGAUCCGAGAACUUUAUCAUGUAUCUGGUUGCGACAGACGCAUAUACGUUCGAGAAAAAGGAGAUAAAUGGUCCUGCGAAGGUAAGGUGGCAGCUAUCGGUGUUCUAGUACACAAGACAACCGAACGCUACACACAGUACUACAAGUCAGUAAUAAAUAGAGUCUGGCGACUACUAGGCUGGCAUGACAGUGCUGUCGAGCGACUCGCCGAUGUGUAUGGCAAUGUGGAAAAUGCAUCCCAUUACUUCUCAUCUCCGCUCCUCUUUGCUCGGUUUGUCCAAGAAGCGGAACACACCACUCAUGUCGGCCUACAUGGCAUAACAUGCUCGUGGAGAAACUAUGNNNNNNNNNNNNNNNNNNNNNNNNNNNNNNNNNNNNNNNNNNNNNNNNNNNNNNNNNNNNNNNNNNNNNNNNNNNNNNNNNNNNNNNNNNNNNNNNNNNNNNNNNNNNNNNNNNNNNNNNNNNNNNNNNNNNNNNNNNNNNNNNNNNNNNNNNNNNNNNNNNNNNNNNNNNNNNNNNNNNNNNNNNNNNNNNNNNNNNNNNNNNNNNNNNNNNNNNNNNNNNNNNNNNNNNNNNNNNNNNNNNNNNNNNNNNNNNNNAAGACGAUGAAAAUUGAGUAAACACAAAAGUAAAGUAGCCGGUCUCAUUAUCAUUAGAAGACGAUGGCAACUACUGCAUGCACCCAUACAUUCUUGGAUCGCUAUAUUUGGCUUAUUCGGUCACAAACCGACGACUUUGCAGCUGCUACAUAAACAACGCUACUCUGGAUCUUAGGGAAAAAUGUUUGGAGACGGAUAUUGAUAAAGGAAACCGAGGAGAGUUGGUGAUGUGAGUCUACUCCAUCGUGCAUGCUACCUACAUGGACAAGCACAUCCGACCUGGCACAGCCUCGAGUUUCAUUAUCCCCUCUUGAUCCCUCUGAUGUUUCCUCUUUCUCUUCAUCAUCAUCUUCACAUCCCUCAAUGUGCACGUUUUUGUGCCUCGAUUUGAUUGGUUCAACUACUUGCUGGCUAUCCUCAGAGUGGUCAAUUUUUUUGGUGUUCGCGAGGAGUCACCAGUACAAGCAUGGUACUGAUAUGUCAUACAUGACCGUGGCAUUUGUACUUGUAGUUUCCUUUCAUUUUUCAUUUUCCUUUUUAAACGCAUACUGUACUUUCUUUACUACACGAUAAUUAAUAUACACUGCACAUUUUUGUAGUAUACGUCAAACAAAUUUUUUAAUUGUAUGAAAACAUAUUUUAUAUUCACACUAUUUUAAAAAAAUAUAGUGAAUAUUUCUAAAUACAUCUAUAAUUUUUUAAUACACAAUGGACAAUUUUUUCAUGUACACAUAACACUUUUUAGUAUAUGAGGAACAUUUGAAAUAUACGGCGAACAUUUUCUAUAUACCCACUAAUAUUUUUAUAAAUGCUGAACAUUUUAAAAGUACACGUUCAUUUUUGUGUUUUCACAAACCAUAGAAAACCAAGAAACUGAAGUAAAAUGAAUAAACGAAAAAAAACAGUACCGGACAGCUCCGUCGCUGCAAAAAUAGGUCUGCACGUCUUAGUGGGCCUACCCAUUCAGAGUCACCUAUGCGUAUCCUCAACUUUUUCGACAACGGGUGCCUUUUAUUUACUUAUAAUGUUGCAUCGAGGGAUACAAUCAUAACAAGCACACACCCAAACUAUGUAUAACUAGCAUACACACUGCGAACACACAUAAAAAAUCACACUGGCAAAUAACAAAGUCAAAUAAGACAAGAACUAUGGCUAGACACAUACAGAAAACGAAGGAAAGAAGAAGAAAUCCCGAGGCGACCAAAAGAGCAUACGUGAGUGAUCAUAUGUGCCAACCAUCUGAACUACUGCGUCAACUAGGAGGUCUCGCUUCUAAGGCCAUCAAUAAUAUUAACGAUGGUUCCAUAUAAAAAAAGAAUAUUAACGGUGGUAGCAGGUGCGAGAUCUUAAAUUAUCAUUUUUUAAGGCCGCUCCAUCGUUUUUGUUCUGCACAAGUGGCUCCCCUAGCCGUAACCCCACCCACUGGUUAUGUAGUUCUUUAAGAGAAAAUCGAUGACACAUGCAAGCAACAAUUUUGUAUCUUCUGUCAUUUGUUUAUACUAUGCCAUCACGAGGAGAUUGCACUUAAAAAGACAAAUUGCAUAUAGGAUAGUUAAAAAAGGGUUGUUUUCUGUCGUGGAAAGGUUGAUUCUAGUAUGAGUAUUCUCUUGGUAUCCGUUCCUUCAUGGAGAAGAGAAGGUGAUUUUCUCUCGCCGCCCCGUCAAUUGAAAUUAUACAUGUUCAAUGAUGACAUGAAGGUUAAUUUCACACCACUCAUUCAUUGUGCUUGCCUUGAGUUCCCUUCAAGGAUAUACCGUGGCAUUCCCGCCUCAAAGAGCUUUUUCAAACCCCUUUCUCAAGAUGCACAACUCAGUCAUUGUUAUCUUGUGUAGACGGGUUCAUCCAACAGGGUAUAAGAUAACACGAUGGACUGAACUGAAGAGAAAAGAAAAAAAAAAUCAUCUACUAAGCCUUAAGCAUUAAACAAGCUUGGAGUGUUGGUCAGCGUGCGACAUCAUUCAAGAAUUUUGUGGACCUACGCUGACCCAAUGAACUUGUGCCCUAUCCCUUGAAGAAAUAUCUCAUCAAUUAUGAAUAAAAAUGUUUGAAGCAUAGAAGUACUCAUGUUUUGACAACAAUACGACCCAUUGUCAUAAACUCAUAAUAUCCCCAAUUUUUACUCAUGAAAAUCAUGUUUGCAUCCCUUUUUGACUCGUUACAUUGCAAUUGUGUCCCAAUUAGAUAACAAUAACACUAAUGAUUGAGCUUGCCAUUGGUAUUCAGUUAUGUGUACACACACAUCACCUUAUGGGUAUUUCACACGAGAAGAAAAUUAGAGGCGAUUUAUUUGCAACUAACAGGCGCUUGCCGCCUCCCAUUGGCUCGCUGCUUGCCAACAAGCAUUCGAUUCCAUUCAACUGAAUUUAAGAAAAAUGGUCAGCAUGUUGGCGCUGUACUGUGUUGGGUUCGUUGAUUGCAUCCAUAUAUAUAAGCAGUCCAUUCCAUUCAACUCAAUUCAUCAACUGCAUCCAUAAUAAAUAUCAAAAAUUCCCCAUGGCACACAACGUGAUUUGCUUGCUUCUUGAUCGGAUUAUCAAACACCGGAGGGGUGUCUUCCUGUGUGAGGGUGGCCGAAACAAACUCGGCAAUUGCAGACGCUCUGAACUCGCCAUCUGCAAUACACACAGUACAUUGUUAGCCAAUUUAACAGUCAAACCAACUCGGUACAUAGAAAUGGAAAGGAGAAGCUAAAACAAGUUUACCAUAUACUGUUAACUUCGCCUCUUUUUUCUUGAGCAGGACUAGUGAUGGGCGCUUUGCUUGCGGGUCAACAUGGAAAAGCUUGGCUAUAUCAGGACUGGUAGUCUGGUAGAUGUUGACAGCCCGGUACAAGCUGUUGAAAUCUUCCAGCCUUGAGGCAGCAGCAAGCUCUUCGGUGUGAGCACCCUAUAGCAUUUGUUGAUAAGAGUAAUCAAUUUUGGGCCACAUGUGCGGUGCAAUUGCAGCAAUUCGGUUGGAUGGUAGACUUUGCUGGGAUUGGAACGUACCGAAAGGGAGUCGAGGAAAGCUAGCACGGCUACUUUGCCGCCGGUGAUGAUCUUCUCGGCCUCGUCGAUGGUGGUGACGUUCUGCACCUCAGGGCCCAGCCUCUGGGAUAUCCAAGUGACCAUGGCGUCCCUGCAGCAGUGGAAAAUUCGCCACCAUGAGGGAUGAAAUAUAAGACCGUUUAGAUCACCAAAGUAAUCUAAACCACGAACAAAAAAUAAGAACAAAAAAUUUGAAUGGAACAUUUCCUGAAAUUCACAAACAUUUCUUAAAAACAUGAAUCUUUCUAAACCACGAACAUUUUUUAAGUUGUCAACAAGAACAUGUUUUGAAGAUUCAGAAGAGUUGUAGUAAUUUUUUUCUUUAAUGCAAACAUUAUUUUCAAUUUUUGAACAUAUUGUGAAAACAACAAUAUUUUUAGAAUUUGGAAUAUUUUCAAAAUGCAUUUUUCUAAAUAUUGUUUUUUAAAUACAGUUAUUUUUUAACAAAUGGCAAUAUUUUUUAAAUUUUGAAAUACAUUUGGCAGAACUAAAAAAAUUCCAAACAUUUUUAGAAUAGGAACACAUUUAUGUAAUUCGUAUAUUUUUAUGAAUUCUUGAAUAAAAAUGAAAUUGCGAUAUUUUCCGAAAAUUUUGAAUUUCAGAAAAUACGUAGAAAAUAGACUUAGAAUGUGAAAAGUAAAAAAUAAAUACGAAACAAAAAGAGAACUAAGCAGAAAAAUAAAAAUGGAAACCGAACACAAGCAUAAAUCGGCCGCUGAGUUUUGGGCGCCUUGUGCGUACCUGAAACUAUUUACCGCCUUGUGCGGGAAAUAGGAUUUUUUGUUGCUACAUGGGCAGGAAAAAAUGGGCUGAAUUUACGGGGCCAUAGUGCGCGCGGCCCAUGUACGAAAUUUUGCACAAAUUGUUUUUCCUUUGCUAAUAGACGAACAUAGAAAGUUUAGUACCACCUCGGAAAGAAAAACAAUAAUUUUUUGGCGGUGAACGGAUAAAAAAAUCGGAGAAACGCACCUUGCUUUAUUAGUAGGUAUAUAUAGAUAUUGAUAUAGAUAUAGAUUGCUCAAGGUGAAAAGCUAAGGCUAUCCUCUUAAGAAAAAAAACGAAGUUAUCUUCCUCGAAAGAAAAACAAAACUAUGUUAUAUAUCCUCCUCUCAAUCAACAAAAUCACCUCUCCUCGAGCAAGCCAACUCUGACUGCACCAUGGGUAAACGUCAAGAUCCCUCCGAACGAUACACGAGAACCGUCUCGGCCACUGCCAAACAAUUGGCCACAAGCUUCGACAACAUAGCAGCUUGGAUUUUGCCGAUGAACUUUGCUGGGGAAAAUUGUAAGCCUCGCACCGAUCUAGUCCAGCGCAAUCUCUGGAGAGCAGCGUCCACUGAAACCAUCUUCAUGGAGUCAUCGUUUCCGCAGGCGCCCCUCCACACACAGCUUCAUCUUCUUUGUUACAACAAGAAACAAGCAUAGGCACACCCAUUGGCACACCCGACUGUCAAAUUCAGAAGGGCCAACCACGACCUAGCUCCGCUCGCCACCAUUGUCGUCGCCACGAGUGCCAACACCAACUACUCGCAUCAUCAGCUGUGCACCAUCCAACCGUGAGAAUGUGCAUAUCCAACCCAGGAAAAGUGUGGAGGGGAACAAAUCUUCAAGACGGCGCCCUAAGUGGGGAGCGAUGCAGAAAUAACAAUGUUGUCCGACCCUGCAACAGGGACCUUAGGCUUUUACUGAAGACAUCCCAAGGGUGACCAAGAUGGAAGAGCUGCACGGCGACCCUCCAAGAAGGAAUAACGACACUAGCAACCGCCACAUCAUCAUUGAUGGCAUAAUCCAGGCAAGCCUUUGCCCCGGAGGAACAAACGUGCACAUACACCCCCACUAGACAAAAUACUGCCUUACCUAUAGACAAAUCAGUUCUUUUUUGGGCGAGAUAAGCCCAAAGUAAUCUGUGCAAAUAUUCUCUGUAAAUUCAAAAUCUAUGUGUAUUAUAUGUAGUUAAUCAACAUUUUACCGCCCAAAUUAGAAUCCUAGCCACUUUAUACCUCGAACUUUCAUUAAAUGUGUCUAGACUUACGUAUUGAGUGCACCAUGCAUGCUGCCAAGCCAACCCGCGUUGAAUCGCGCCAUAAAUUUCCUUAAGUUUAAAUUUCCGCUAGGAUUUACCUUGUAAAUAAGUUUCCACCGUUCUUACUAGCACAAAUUUAAAGCUUUGGGGUAAAUCCUUUCUGCAUAAUCCCUGUAAAAAAUGAUAAAAGUAAAGGUACAAAGUAGAAAUUUUAAUAUAUAUCAUCACACAAUCAUAGUACAACCAGCACACACAUACAAUUAUCAUCCAUACAAGCCAGAAAAGUAAGUCAGAACAAUCACAAGAUUUACAUGGGCAUCAUACCCUAAUCUUGAUUGAUCUUGACAUUAUAUAGCACAGAAUGACUUGAUGGUGGUGGGUUACAACACACCACUUAUUUAAUCCAGCAGGCAAUAUAAGUCACGAGUAUACUAUAUCUGGCGCGGUUGAUGUACUCGAACAUCUCAUCCCAGCGGCUCCUCUUGGAUGUGUGCUUCCACAUUUUCCUUUUCCGCUUGUGUCCCAAGUGGUGGUUUUGGUUGUGCAUUCGGGUCCGGCAGUCCAGGCAGUGGUUGUGGGUUUGGGUCUGGUAAUGGUUGUGGGUUUGGAUCAGGCUGCGGUCCUGGUAAUGGCUGAGGGUUUGGGUUUGGUUGUGGGUCCGGCAAUGGUUUUGGGUUUGGGUCUGGUAAUGGUUGUGGGUUUGGAUCAGGCUGAGGUCCUGGUAAUGGUUGAGGGUUUGGGUUUGGCUGUGGGUUNNNNNNNNNNNNNNNNNNNNNNNNNNNNNNNNNNNNNNNNNNNNNNNNNNNNNNNNNNNNNNNNNNNNNNNNNNNNNNNNNNNNNNNNNNNNNNNNNNNNNNNNNNNNNNNNNNNNNNNNNNNNNNNNNNNNNNNNNNNNNNNNNNNNNNNNNNNNNNNNNNNNNNNNNNNNNNNNNNNNNNNNNNNNNNNNNNNNNNNNNNNNNNNNNNNNNNNNNNNNNNNNNNNNNNNNNNNNNNNNNNNNNNNNNNNNNNNNNNNNNNNNNNNNNNNNNNNNNNNNNNNNNNNNNNNNNNNNNNNNNNNNNNNNNNNNNNNNNNNNNNNNNNNNNNNNNNNNNNNNNNNNNNNNNNNNNNNNNNNNNGGCAAUGGUUUCGGGUUUGGGUCUGGAAAUGGUUGUGGGUUUGGAUCAGGCUGCGGUCCUGGUAAUGGCUGAGGGUUUGGGUUUGGUUGUGGGUCCGGCAAUGGUUUUGUGUUUGGGUCUGGUAAUGGUUGUGGAUUUGGAUCAGGCUGCGGUCCUGGUAAUGGACGAGGGUUUGGGUUUGGCCGUGGGUCUGGUAGUAGCUGCGGGUUUGGGUUUGGCCAUGGGUUCAUCAACCGUUGCAGGUUUUGGCCUGGCAAUGGUUGUGGAUUUGGGUCAG